GUGGCUUGACAGGGCGAGUUGGGGGCUUCUUCCCAGUACCAGUUGGGGGUUUUAGUUUCCGAGGUGGCUUGUGAUCUGAGUCUCUUCCCCCCUCCACCACAUUCUCUUCAAGAUGACGAUCAUGAUGAGGUGGCUCAUCUCCCUUACCCUUCGGUGGCUUAUCUCCCUUACCCUUUGGAGGCUGCUCAACUGGCUUUGGUUUUGGGUCGUGUUCAGGGAAUGGCUUGUGAUCUCCAUCGUCAUUACGUUCAAGUGGGGUUGGUGGCUUCCCUUUUGGAGGUGGCUUUGGCUUCUUUCCCUUAGGAGGCAAUUUCCCAUCCAAUGACUCUGCCUCUAAUAAACGACGUCCGGUGUUUUGUUCAUUGUGAGGUGGCUUGUGCUCCGGUGGUGGCUUCUUACCCUUGGGAGGUUCAUCAUGACCUGGGGUUCCCUUGUUCUUCGGUGGUGGCUUUUCUCCUUUUUGGGAUUCCUGUUCACCUGGGUGUCCUGGUUUGUGCUCGGGUGGUGGCUUCUCUCCUUUCUUCGGUGGCUCGUCACCCGGGUGUCCGAUACCUGGGGUAUGUCCUGGUGGUCCUCUCUUCGGUGGCUCAUCACCUGGCUGUCCUGGUUUGUGCUCUGGUGGCGGCUUCUCAAACCCUGGAUCCUCAGUGUGCUCUUGGGGUGGCUUUUGUCCCUUCGGGGGCUCAUUGUGCCCUUGUGGUGGCUUUUGUCCCUUUGGAGGCUGAUUGUGCUCUUGAGGUGGCUUUUGUCCCUCGGGAAUUUUGCCUUCCACCUCUAGCAAGUGGUGUUCAUUGUGCGGUGGCUUGUGCUUGGGUGGAGGCCUCUCUCCUUUGCCCUUGAGGGGCUCGUUAUGUUGGGUUGGGGGCUUCUUCUCUGGGAAUGGGAAAGGCUCUUCCUUGUUAAGUGGGGUUGGAGUCUUGUGAUUUGGUGGGUUGUGGGAAGGAGGCUUUUGAAUUGGGGGUUUCAGGGCAAGAGAAGGAGUUGAAGUGGUGAAAACCACCACUCCGACAAGAAAAACUAGCAAGUAAUUGGGAGACAUCUUUAGACUCUUAUGUUCUAGGAUGGUUGGAAACUAGUAGAAGUGAGUGGCUUUUUAUAGUGAUGGGGCAGCACUGUGGUCAUGGCACAUGUCACCAUGCACUUGGAUUUUUUUUUAAUGAAAUGUGUGGACUCGUUGAAUUUUGUAUGGUUUGGUUUUUAUUAUGUUUGUACAAUUUUAUAUAUGAGGAGGGGUCCAUUUAGGGUCCUAUUUGAGUUGAAAUGUUUGACAACUUUUACGUUCAAACCAGAUAGGGGACCUGUAGGAAAGCUAAAUUACACGACUUAGCGUUCACAACCCACAUGGAGUCAGUGACCUGGUACUCUAGCAUCACUGAUCGAUAUUAUAUUAGAGUUUUAACUUUAGAAAGAACAAGACAAAUGGAAAAUAUAGCAACUUGCUUUUGAAAGUUUUUCUUUUAAACAAGUUGGAGAGAUUUUUACCAUCACACGGGAUAGUACACCACGUGUCGUUAUAUAAACGGUGAGCUAAGUGUGUUAAAAAGUUAAUAACUUUAAAAAAAAAUAUUCCACCACUUACAUAAAAUCACAUGAUAUAUCAUUCGUGUUCUUGUCAUAUCUAAAAAUUUCUCUACAAGUUAGAGAAAACAAUGUUACUUUCUUUUCGAAAUAAGUUCGAACUAAAUGGCCGUCUAUAUUCCUGCAUAUAGCCGACUGUAUAUGCACAAAUACUUUUCAAGUUUUCUCUUCCAUAAACUAGAAAUAUUGACUCAAAUAUUUUACGUUAAUGCUAUAAAAAUAUUGAGCUAAUGAUUUAGUAAAACAAACAAUCCUUUGUAAAGUUAUUCACAUACAAAUUAUAUAUUAGUCCAUCGAAUUGCAGUAUAUAUCUCGAAUAUAAAAGAGAUUCACUUCAGCAAAUUUAGAGACUUAUACCAUGUUAACAGACUAUAGCGUAGACCAAAUUGUUGUAAGAAAUGGUACUCUUUCUUUUUGUUCUAUUCCAACGAUAUAUAUGAUUUUACUUAAUCUAAAUGACAGAGACGUGGACUCGAGUGUGAAACACAAAACAUAUUCUUCCUUUUUCAAGCCGAAGCUCAUUGAUUGGAUGAUAAUUAGUGCCGCCUUCAAUUGUUUAAAGACACGGUUUAUCAAGCUGUGACAAGAUUGAGUGUGGCUUUUGGUUCUUUUUCACGUAGUGAUUCAUGAUGCUGUCUUAUUAUAUGCUAUCCAACAUUUAGCGGCUCCCAUAAUCACUUUAAGGAAAUAAAUUAUGGAAACUAAAUUCACUUUUGGAAAAAGCUAGCAUGAUAAAUUAAUUGGAUAAAUUCAUCAGUCCACAGAUUUUGCUUGUUUCUACGAAGAUCUUCUGUAUUCGGUGGAAAGAUGGACGAUAUUUUACCGACUAUAUAUUUUAUUUGUUUUAAGUUUUCUUGUUAAUUACUACUAAUCCCUAUAUCAGCGAGCCCGCAAUGGUCUUUCUCCUUUUCGCACUUAGGAUGACGACCUGUAUUUAAUGUUGAUAUAAACGACACUAAAUCGUAAGUUGUUUUGGUGCAUAGUUUAUGUUGCUAGAAAGCAGCUAUCUAGUUAAAGCAGAGGCUGGCAUGAUUUCACGUAAACGACAUUAAUCACUUUCAAGAACCGGUGUCAAGAUUAUAAGAGUUGAGUGUAUCUGUGGUACUUAAGUGUUUUACAAGUUUUGUCAAGAGCAUUGAAAUCUUUUCCUUUCUGUUAUGUGAAUUGCGAAUGAUUGAAGAGAGAAAAUCUUAGUACCCAUUUAAAUGGAGGAAUUCCAAAUCUAUGGAUUUUUUGAUAAAAUUAUAAGAUUAAUUAAAUUGGUUGUUUCAACUAUUACAAUCAUUAUAUGCAACUAUUUGAACAAGUGAAGAAAGAAAACAAGUGAGUUUUAAAUAAUUCCUUGCAUAUUGUUAUUUCAAAUUCAUUUAAACGUACUACUUUGUGUAUAGAUGUAAUCUUAUUUGUCAAUUCCAAAACGUUUCUUUUAACUUCUUCCAUGCAAAGAGAGAGCAUUUUGAUACUCCUCUUCCAUUCUUAAAGGGUUUCCACAACUCGAAGCCUCUGGGCCAGUCAAAAAAUGCAGAGAAGUUAAAAGUCAAAUGGUACAUGUAUCUUCCGUGAUAUAGAUGCAACAUGAACGAAUUUUCCUUUUGUUUGUUUUCGGGUUUAUAUGGGUGCGUUUGCAUGUGCAUGCAUAUAUAUGUUGUCGGUGUAGUGACAUUGUGUGAAAACAUGAAAGCAGUUGUAUGAGUCAUGUGGCUGCUUUUGCUACAGGAUCUGAAGAAAAUUCUCAGAGUCACCUCGCCAUGUAAGGUUACUAAUUUAUUUAUGCUAUAACAUUUAUGUCCUUAUUCAAAAUUAUAUUCUCUAGGUCCCUAAUAUUCAUCAAUUAUGUUAUUCAUGUAGAUGGUUUAGUAGCACAUUGGGAUAGUGUCACACUAGGGUUUCGUAGCACAUUGGGAUAGUGUCACACUCUGGUUUAGUAGCACAUUGGGAUAGCGUCACACUAGGGUUUAGUAGCACAAUGUUAUUCACAUAGAUGGUUUAGUAGCACAAUGGGAUAGUGCCACACCACAAAGUUCAUGAUGAAGAGAUUUUUUAUUUGUCGCCGCUUCACCUAGAGGUCACAAAUCAACUUAUUGGUUAUUAAUAGAUACUUAUUAAGACUCAUUUAGUUUAAUUUCAUCUUACAUUAUCGUCACCACUACCAAUUUCAUCUCUAUAUUAUAGUGAUAUCAAAUUAAACAGCUCUUAAAGGGUACCCGUUAACAAUCUAAUGGAUUGAUUAGCCGCAUCUAACUUCACCAAGUAGCUAGAGUUAUCAUAACUUACAACUAUAACACAUGCAUACUUAUUUAUUAAGGAAAACUAAUGAAAAUGACUUGAAAACUUUAAGUUUUAAUCAAAAUGACAAAAAUGUGUUGUAAGUGAAUAGUACCAUAAGUGACUUUUUAAAGUAAAAUAUUAUUUUAGUUAAAAGCGAAUAGUACCGAAAGUGUUUCAUUAAAACUCUCUAUUUAUUAUAUUAAUCUUAAGUUCCAAAUUAAUCAUUUAUCAUGUUAUUUAUACAGCCUACAAAAUUACAUGAAUUAGUAACAUAGUCACAAUACAAAGUUUCUGAAGAUUCUCUUGGGCAAUUUUGUACCUAGCCUUUCAACGUGUGGGACAUCCUGUUGACUCUUUGUAUAACUACCCUAGUCAGUGAGACGAAGCCAGAUUUUUAUGCAUUUCACAACAUAAAGCAUAACAUAGUAUCAAGGCAUGCAUGUGGACACAAUUAAGUAUUCCGUUAUAUUUUGCAGGAGGUUUUGUACUGGUCCUCGCAUACAUGUUCACGAGCUGUAUAUAAAGUCGACAUUAUGAUGAGAUCCCUGGUUGAUCUCUGCGGCUCCGCUGACAUGUUCUUCACAGCUUAGGGUAUUGACAAAGAUAAAAUAUAGUUGCUUUUUCUUUAUUUUUAUACAAGAGCUAGUGUGGUGAAAUUGAACUCUAGCACAUCCGGUUCACAUGAAAUAUUUUUAACCAAAUAAGCUAUGUGUUUAUACCAUAUUUAGGACCUCGUACUUAGAUCUCGUACAAAUACUCGGAGAACUUAAAUGUAAUUAUGUGAUAAAGGAAUGGGCAAAUAUGUAAAAAGUGAGGAGUCCUUAUUCUAUAAAACGACUUCUCACCCUCACAAUUAGGAGAGGCCAAUUCCUAGGCUCUCUCACCCCCUCUCAAAGCUCUCACUCUCAGAGCUCUCUCUCCCUCAGAAAUAUAUUAGUGUGGACGUAGCCCAAACCUUGGGGUGAACCACGAUAUACCUUGUGUUAUUUACAUUUCAUGUAGAUUCACUGUCGGAUUUACGUUGUUCCAAGACCUCCGGUUUUGUGCACCAACAUUUGGCGCCGUCUGUGGGAAACGACACAGAAAGUUAUGUCGGUUCUCUCUCAAUUUUUCACCUCCGCCAUGGAUCUGCAAAAUCUGCAGAAACAUCAAACCAAAAUCCCAGUCCCAUCUCUCUCUCUUUCUCUAGAAACCCAAAAAUGGGUAAGCAGAACAGACACAUACUCUAGCUCUCUCUCUCUCUCUCUCCUUUCUCCAUUAAAACCAUUCAACACACUCUCUCUCUACAUUUUUGGAAAGAGAAAGUGGACAAAGAUCGAAAUUUUUUCGGGUUUACUGAGAUGCUUCGUUCAGAACUACGACUGGGGGAAGAGGAGACAAGAUUCCCAAGUGGCCAGGCUAUCUGCUUUUAACUCUGGUUCUGGGAUCAACCCAGAAAAAUCAUGUGCUGAAUUUUGGAUCGGAACCCAUGGGUCCAGACCUUCCUUUCUGAUUCAUAAGGGCUCGCUCCAUCUCUCCAACUUCCCCUACCAGCUCAAACGACGUCGUCUAGCUCCACCAUUUCCCCUUCGUUAUCGUUUCCUCAUCCCACUCCUGGUCUCGCCGUGAGCUUAAGCUCCGCCCCUGGAGCUCCCCCGCCUCCACCCGCGUCUUCGCUUUCCUCAAUCGCACCCUCACAGAUUCCUCCGGCGACCAAUCCAUCGCGAAUGUCGUCGUCUCCGGUGACACCUCCCGCUUUCUGUACACUCUAAAAGGAGGGCUACGGUCCGCGUUCCUUGUGGCGCGCGCGAUCAAGGAAGCAGUUGAUCGUGGCGAGCCUGAUGAAAAAUAGCAAAAUACCAACAGAAAAAGCAGGAGAGAGAGAAAGAGAUAGAAGAGAAGGAUGAUCUGUCCAUAUGGUGGUGGGUGCAUUGUGGUUUGGUCCAGGAGAGAUUUGAUCUGAGGGUUGAAGAUAACCCAGCUUUGGCAGCUGCAGUGAGAGCAUGAGGUGUUGUUUGUGUCUUCAUCUGGGCUCCUGAGGAGGAAGGCCCUUAUUAUCCUGGAAGGGUUUCAAGAUGGUGGCUAAAACACAGCUUGGCUCAUCUUGAUUCCUCCUUGAAAAGUCUCGGCACUUUUCUCAUCACCAAAAGAUCCACUGAUAGUUUUUCUUCUCCCCUUGAAGUUGUUGUUUCCACUUCUCCCCCCUGAGAGAAUUAUUUCAGUUCAUGUUAACCAAUUAUUUCAUGUUAACCGAAGUGUGGAUCUUAAGGCCGGCAGAAUGCUCUCUUUGCUCUUGGAAAUUCCCAGAUUCUCUUCUUCUCAGACCAAAGGAAGGUGACUUUUUGCGGGUUAGGAACAAUUCCUUUUACUCAUGUGUUUUGAUGGGCACGAGGAGUGAGAAUGGAUGGGCACGACCAGACUGUCCAAGAAAAGCAAAAAAGGUGCAAGCUGUCACCAAUAAGUCAUAUUCGUUGGUUCAAGCAAGGCAAAAGCAACAAAGGUGCAGAGAUCAAGAAAAGCAGAAAAGCAGUGGGGAACAAAGCAGAAAAGAGAAAGCAAAAGUGAGGAAUAAACACCCCACCAAAAUAAUGUGAUUUACUUUUGUUAUUUCUGAAUGAUGUAAUUUAUUUUCCGUAUCUUUUGGAGAUAUCUGUAUAAACCCCAUCAGAAGGUAAAAGAACGGCAAAGCCCAAAAUAAAUGGGCUGGAAUAUUGUGUGGAGAGCGAAGGCCCAUAAGCCUAAAAUAGCACCAACCAGGUCAUCAAAAGUACACCCAGUACUCCACAAUUAUUCGGCAACCCGCCGCUAUUACCAUCAACCAGGUGAUCAAAAGUACGCCCAGUACUCCACAAUUAUUCGGCAACCCGUCGUUAUUAUCGCCAACCAGGUGAUGAAAUAUACAACCCGUACUCUAAUAUCAUUUGACAACUAGCCAUUCAUGCCACCAACCAGGUGAUGAAAUGUACAACCCGUACUCUAAUAUCAUUUGGCAACUAGCCAUUCAUGCCACUAACCAGGUGAUGAAAUGUACAACUCGUACUCUCCUUCAUGCCACCAACCAGGUGAUCAAAAGUACGCCCAGUACUUCAAAACAUACAUGAGCAUUACUCAUGUCAAUCAUACAUAAACAUUCAUGAGCAUUACUCAUGUCAAUCAUACAUAAACAUUCAUAAGCAUCACUCAUGUCAACAUCUAUGAGCAUCACUCAUGUCAAUCAACAUAAACAUUCAUGAGCAUCACUCAUGUCAAUCAACUUCAAAAGCUUCAUUUACAAAAGCUCUAGCUUCAAAAACUUCAUUUACAGAGCUCUAGCUUCAAAUUCAUUUACAAAAGCUCUAGCUUCAAAAGCUUCAUUUACAGAGCUCCAGCUUCAAAAUCUUCAUUUACAGAGCUCCAGCUUCAAAGCUUUACAUGCAAAGCUUCACCUACAAAGCUUCAGUGCAGGGUAUACAAAUACCACCUCCGAACAACCGCCACUUCGGCCCAUACAUGGAUUCAAUUUGAAGUCUCCAGCCAAUAGACUCUAUUGACCGAAGACUUGGGGGACUAAACUAUACACCAUAUAUUGGGCCUCAACUGGGCCUUAUGAAAAAUACUUGCAAGACUCUCUCACCAUCAUUAGAGAGCAUCAACUUUAGCAUAUUAUUCAUGUAUUGAGAAACGAGCCAUUAUUCUAUAAAAGGGACUCCCUCACCAUCAUUAGAGAACAUCAACUCUAACACAUUAUUCAUGUAUUGAGGAGCGAGCCCUUAUUCUAUAAAAAGGGCUCACUUACCAUCAUUAGAGAGCAUUGCUGCCUAUUGAGCAACCGCCUUGCCGCGAGCAUCAACUCUAGCCCAUCAUUCAUGUAUUGAGGAGCGAGCCCUUAUUCUAUAAAAGGGACUCCCUCACCUUCAAACGCCACAAAGCAGAGCCAACCAAGGUAACAUAAGCCACAAGCCAAGCAGCCUCGCAGCGUAUGCUACUUCUAGUUGAACAUCAUUUCAGAUUGAGCACCGCCUCAUAUCGAGCAUCAGUUCAAGACAACAUCUAGUUACUUCGGCCCACACAUGAACUGAAUUUCAAGUCUCCAGCCAAAAGACUAUCUUGACUGAAAACUUGGGGGACUACUGUUUAUACCAUAUUUAGGGCCUCGUAUUUAGAUCUCGUACAAAUACUCGGGGGACUUAAAUGUAAUUAUGUGAUAAAGGAAGGGGCAAAUAUGUAAUAAGUGAGGAGUCCUUAUUUUAUAAAAUGACCCCUUACCCUCACAAUUAGGAGAGGCCAAUUCCUAGGCUCUCUCACCCCCUCUCAAAGCUCUCACUCUCAGAGCUCUCUCUCCCUCAGAAAUAUAUCAGUGUGGACAUAGCCCAAACCUUAGGGUGAACCACGAUACACCUUGUGUUAUUUACAUUUCAUGCAGAUUCACGGUCGGAUUUACGUUGUUCCAAGACCUCCGGUUUUGUGCACCAACACUAUGAAUUUCUUAUAAUAUUAUUAUUAUAUAUUGUUAAAAUUUUAGAAAGGCGAGCCUAAUGGUUUAACACUAAUAUUGUUCCCAAGUUAAUAAUUUGUAGCUUAAGAGCUGUAAGAUUUUUUUCUAAAGACCUUGGCGUAUUUAGGAUAAAACUUUUUGUAUUUAAUUUGUAAUAUUUUGUCAAAUCUCCAAUGUGGGAUUUCCACGCUACCUGACAUGGAACCAUAUCUUCAGUCUGCCACACGUGAAGAGAACUUCCAUAUUGGGAAUGGAAAGACAAGCACGUGAAUGUUGAAUAUAAGUCCCACAUCGGAGAAUUAAUAUAUAAGUAUAUGAGUUCACUCCUAAUAAUAUAGAUGCCUUUGUGAUAAAACUCAACAGCCAGUAAUAGGUGAUUAAGUUAGGAUAAUAUUGGUGUGGUUAGGAGUGGGCCAGUGGCCAGUCUCCUUGAUGAUCGGACAUGGUACCAAAGCAGGUUUGAUUAUGAGUCAUCUGGGUGUCAUGCUUGAGUUAUUGUGCUUAAUGUAACACCAUUAAUCUCUGAUGUGGGAUCGGUUGCACUUGUGGCCCACUAUAUUUUGAUCACAUGGGAGGGGGCGUGUUGAAUAUAAGUCUCACAUCGGGAGAUUAAGUAAAUAAGGUAUAAUAAGUGUGUGAAUUCACUCUUAAAAACACCGAGGCCUUUUUUGAUAAACCUAAUACUUAGUAAUAGGUGAUGAAGAUGAGACAAUAUUGGUGUGGUUAGGGGUGGGCCUGUGGCCUGUUUCUCUGAUUAUUUGACAAUGAAUAUCACGCACUCAAAACAAACCAAUAAUGGGAUCCAGAAAAAGUACAAACUGUUGUAGGCCUAUUUGAUUGAACUAAUCUAAGGGAUUACAGAGAGAUGGGGUUGGCGGUAGCAAGAUGGAAGAGAGAGAUUUAAUUGUGAGGUGUGUGUUGUAUCACCCCUAUUGUGCCUUUAUUUAUAGUAGUAGGAUAGGCAAAACCUUACCCUUUUAGGAUUACAACUCUUAAUAGGUAAUCAACUCCUAAUAGGAAUAUAAGAGAUAUUUCUAGAUCUACUAGGGUUUACACAAUCACAUUCCUAUUCUAAAUAUGACUGCAACACUCCCCCUUGAAUGUGUAAAUACUCAACAAACCAUCGCAUUAGAUCUUCAGCAAAUAAGGUAGAAUAAUUGAUGAAGUAAUCGGCAUGAUGGGUGAACGCGAGUCUCAAAUUUAAAGAAAGUAUGCAUUGGUGGUAAAACUUAGAAAACCUCGCUAUGGUAAAACCUAAGACAUGGGGAAAACCCAUAGACUAAGGAGAAAAGUGAAAAGUAUGAAUAAUGUCCAAAACAAAUGUCAAACAGGACGAAAGUAGUGAACUCAAUGGAGUAUGAUCAUCCUAGGAUGGGUGCCUUGUCAAAAGUGCGUUAAGUAGCAAAAACGCAGUGGGAAAAAUGCUCCUAAUCAUAGGAAAAAGAGCACAUUAAGAUCAAGUGAGUAUGCCUCAGGAUACUCCCCCUGAGUUAGAAAUAACUUCCAAAUAAGAAAACUGCAAGCGAUUCAACUCAGAUAAUUUACGCAUACCGAUUCCUUGGACGAGCUUCUGAAAAGUAGACUUGGGCAAUGACUUGAUGAAGAGAUCGGUCAUGUUGUCUUGGGAACGUAUUUGCUUGACUGCAAUGUUUUGAUGUUGUUUCUGGUGAGAGUAAAAGAACUGCAACGCUAUGUGCUUGGUGUUGUCUCUCUUGAUGUAUCCCUUCUUUAACUACUUGAUACAUGUUGCAUUGUCUUCAAAGAUUGUCGUAGGAACGUCAACAACAAAAGUAAAACCACUACUGCUUCGAAUAUGUUCCAUAACUGCUCUCAGCGAAAAACACUCACACGAUGCUUCAUGCAGGGCGAGAAUCUCAGUAUGGUUCGAAGAAGUCGCAACUAGCGUUUGCUUGGUAGACCUCCAAGAUAUAGCGGUGUCUCCAAAGGUAGAGACAUAGCCCGUUUGACAACGUGCCCUAUGUGUGUCAGACAGAUAUCCAACAUCUACGUAACCAACAAGAAUAGAAUCAAUCCGAGAACCAUGAGAGGCGGCAACACUCAAAGAUUCACGGGUAUAGAACAAGCUCAAAUAUGUAGUACCCUUAAGGUAGCGAAAAAUGUCUUUAACACCAUUCCAGUGUCUGUGUGUGGGUGUAUUGUUGUAUCUAGCCAAAAUAUUAACAACGAAGGAGAUGUUGAGUCUAGUGCAUUGAGCUAAGUACAAUAGAGCCCCAAUUGCACUUAGGUAAGGAACUUCGGGUUCCCAAAUCUUUUCCUCAUCCUCCUUUGGAUGGAAGGGAUCUCAUUUAGCAUAAAGUUUGAAUGGCCAUAGACGUACUUGAAGACUUCGCUUUAUCCUCAUUAAAACGUCGCAACAAUUUUUGGGUGUAGUUCGAUUAAUGUACUAGGAUUCCAUCUGAACAAUGCUAGAUCUCCAGACCGAGGCAAUAUCAAGUUUUCCUAAGAUCUUUCAUCUCAAAUUAUGAUUUCAAGUGUGUAGCAAUUUCCUCAAGCUCUAUAGGAGUUCCAAAGAGGUUCAUGUUGUCAACAUAAACUACAACAAUUGCAAAUCCAGAAUGUGGCUUCUUUAUGAACACACAUAGGCAUAAUUCCUUGUUCACGUAACCCUGACUUGUCAAUUAUUCACUCAGACAGUUAUACCAUAUCCGCCCGGAUCGUUUCAAUCCGUAGAGUGACCUAUUCAACCUAAUUAAGAGAGUGUUUCUUGGUCUAUAACUAUUUGAACCAAUCCAUGGAAGUCCUUCUGGAACUUUCAUGUAUAUUUUCUUAUCUAGAUCCCCAUAGAGAUAUGCAAUUACCACAUCCAUAAGCUGCAUAUUCAAUUUUUUGGAAACUACCAAAUUUAUAAAGUAGCAGAACGUUAUAACAUCCAUUAUGGGGGAAUAAGUCUCCUCGUAAUCAAUCCCAAGGCAUUGAGAGAAGCCUUAUGCUACAAGGCGUGCUUUGUAUUGCACUAUUUCAUUAUUCUCAUUACGCUUCCUCACGAAAACCCACUUGUAGCCAAGGGGCUUCACAUGUGGUGGUGUAGGAACGAUAGGCCAAAAUACUUUACGUUUCGCGAGCGAAUUGAGUUCGACCUGGAUUGCUUGUUUCCAGUUUGACCAAUCUGUUCUACGUUGGUAAUCAUCAACGGAACGUGGUUCAAUGUCAUCGCUAAGCAUGAUGUCAGUAGUUACUGCGUACGCAAGUGCAUCGUCAACAAUCAUCUCAUUCUGAUUUCAAACCUCAUCCAAUACUGCGUAGUGAACCAAAAUCUCAUGAUUCUCGAGAAGCCGGGUUGUCUCGUCUAAGACAUUGUCGUAAUUUAGAAUAACCUUAUGCGUUGGAACGGAUGAGUAAGCAACGGUCGGAUUCAAACUAGGGUCACUAGUUGGUGCCGUUUUCCUCUUCCAGGGUUGUGAAUUCUUUAAACCAAAGGGUCUGCCACACUUCAGGGUUGAAGCAGAUGAUUAGCUAGCCACCAAUUUACAGUGCCACGUGGAAAGUGCGGCCUCCCCACCUUCGAGGACGAUCCAACCUUCCCAGCCGGUUGUUGACGUACGCGAGGUACAUCUAUCCUUGCAGGUGCGUUUGCAACGGGUAUAUGUGAUCUUGUCACCUUAGCUAGAUCAUUAAAACAAAUGGCAUGCUCUAAGCAAUGCUCUGAAGAUCUAUAAUUUGUUGCACCUCAGUUUCAGACUGGGCAGUGCAAGGAUCUAAAUGAGACAUAGUGGGAGCAUACCAUGACAAUUCGCGGUGUUCUCUAGGAACGUUAGCAUGCUUAUCUCCCCUUAACGACGGGAAGACUGUCUCACAAAAGUGACAAUUCACAAAACGUACGGUAAAGAGGUGUCAUGUCAAGGGUUCUAAAUAGCGAACAAUUGAUUGCGAAUCAUAACCAACAUAGAUUCCCAUUUUUCUCUGAGGACCCAUUUUGGUACAUAGUGGCGGCUCUAAUGGCACAUAAAUUGUGAACUCAAACACCCAUAAAUGCGAGAUGUCGUGCUCGUAACCAACUGUAACGGUGAAUGAUCUUGGGUAGCAUUGGACCUCAGGCAGGCCAAUAUAGCUGCGUGCAAUAUUGCAUAACCCUAGGUAGAUACCGGCAAUUUGGUUCUCAUAACCAAAGUCUGAGCUAUCAAUUGAAUGCGCUUUAUGAAACCUUCUGCCAGGCCUUUUUGAGUGUGAACAUUGGGUACAAGAGGUUCCACAUCAAUCCCUACUAACAUGUAAUAAUCAUCAAAAGUCUGUGACGUAAACUCUCCAGCGUUAUCCAGUCGAAUCGACUUAAUCGGAUAAUCAGGGUGGUGAGCCCUUUACUUAAUAAUUUGUGCUAGGAGUUUAGCAAAUGCAACGUUGCUUGUAAACAACAGGCAAACAUGUGACCAUCGUGUCGAUGCAUCAACCAACACCAUAAAGUAUCUAAAUGGUCCACAUGUUAGUUGGAUAGGUCCACAAAUAUCCCCUUGAAUCCUCUGAAGAAAUUUGGGGGGGGGGGGUCUUGAAUGAUCCUUUGUAAUCAAGAGUUGAGUAUUCAACUUCCAUAAAGACCACGCUUUGCAUGGCAGGAAUCCAAUAUAAGGAGGUAACCGAUGCUAAUGUGAUGAUUUAAGGAUAUGGCGCAUCAUGUCACGUUCGGGAUGUCCCAAAUGGUCAUGCCAAAACAGUAUAGUGCUCUGGAAGUAAGGCAUAGGGCUGGCCACAUGAUAGGCUUCUAUGCUGCGAAUGGUUGUGAUGUACAACCCACUCGGGAGACAUUCCAACUUUUCGUGAAUACUCUUCUGGCCAUAUUUGUACGAAGUAAUACAAAGAAAUUCAGAACCAUUAUCUUCAGUGGUUUCAAUAUGAUAUUGAUUAUCUCGAAUAUCUCUAAAACUCAUAAACGUUCUUCCGGAACGUGGAGAAUAGAAUGCCUCUUUAAUGGUUAAGAUUGUACCAUUGGACAACAUGAUACAUGCCUUUCUGCAUCCUUCAAUCAUGUUGGAUGGACCUGAAAAAGUUGUCAGAGGUGCUUUCUUGGGUAUUAAGUUAGUAAAAUAACGUCGCUCACGCAAGAUUGUGUGCAUGGUAGCACUAUCAACUAGACAACUAACUUCCCCACUAGACAUACCUAGAAAUAAAUUGAUUGAAUUGGUCACAUGCAUAAAUAUAAUCCAUUCAUUCAAUUAAGAAAUUCGAGAAAUAAUAUCCAUCAAAUAACAAUCCAUAAUUCAAAACAAACCAAAACCAAAACCAAACAAAUUAUUCAAAAGACUUAGAAAAAUUGUUCAAAAUUAAAUCAUAAACCUAAAAAAAUAGGGGAGAGGGGCCGGCCACUCCUAGUGGGUUCAGCCACUAGGGGUAAACACUUUAAAAACAUGUCUAAUGUAUUCGUCCAUAGGCAUGACCGCCUCAUGAAAAUCCGAUAUCUCCAUUGAUGUAGUAGCAUCUUCCGGAUGUUCCACAUAUGCAAAGUUAGACUCACAACGGAAAUGAUACUUAGCAAUAGCCUCAGGGUUAGCUCGGCAUACACGUGACCAAUGAUCAUUUGAUCCACAACGAUAACACAUAUCCAUUUCAGUAGAAGUCGAUUGAGCAGGAGUUUUUCCCUUGUUUUUGAAGUUCAGGGUUUUAGGCACAAGGGGUGAACGCUGCAGGGUCACAUUUCAUCCCUUGGGGCUGGCACUAUAUUGACCUUGGGCCCGUGGUUGGGCUUGAUGCCCAUUGCCACAGCCACAAUAGCUUUUUUGUCGUUUGUGGCUGCUAAGGUUCGAGUCAGUUGGUCGAGCUUGAUGAUUCUUCAUCAAAAGAUGGUUCUGCUUUUUAGCGAGAAAUAGUACAGAGAUCAAAUCUGAAAAUUUGGUGAAUUUAUGUGCCCUAUAUUGUUGUUGUAGACAAUAUUGGUGGCAUGGAAGGUCGAAUAUGUCUUUUCCAGGAGAUCUGAUUUGGUUGGUUCCACUUUACAAAAUUUCAGCAAUGAUCGGAUUCUACAAACUUCAGAGUUGUAUUCAUUCACGAACUUAAAGUCUUAGAAGAGAAGAUGCUGCCAAUCGUGUCUUGCUUCAUGCAAGUAUAUGUCUUUCUGGUGAUCGAAACGGUAGACCAAAGCAAGCCAGAUGGUGCGUGAGUCCUCCUCAGCGAGGUACUUGGUCUGCAGAGCAUCAUGGAGUGUCUUCGAAUGAAGAUCAUCACAGUAGCUUUCUCAGCUUCGUCGACAUGUUUGCUGUCGGUAAGUGCCUCGAUGGUGGCUCUAAUGCCUUUUUGCAGUGAGAUGAAGCUUCACUUCUUAAAUCCACUUCGAGUAGUUUCUUCCACAGACUUCCAGAGCGAUGAAAUCGAGCUUAUUCAAGUUCGACAUGCCCCUAAAACAGAGGGUACAAAAAAAACGUGAUUAGUCAUAUGGUGAUCCAUAGACAUAUAUCAUAGAAUAUUUCAGGUUUUAGAGACAUGUAUUGGUUUAAUUUAUGCAUGAAAACUGCAGGUUUCAUGUGGUAAGUUUUGAAUGAAAACUUUAGGUUUCAAAGGCACUAAAUAUGAAACUACAGGUUCAAUUUAGUUUUAUGAACGAUUAGUUCAUAAAGGAAAGGUUCCUGCAAGAAACACAAAAUGCAAUAUUCUGAUUUAAGUGUAGUGGAUUUGAGGUUCUUUGGGAACUCAAGUGUGAAAGCUUUGUUACUACAAAAAUGUGUCAACGGUUCAAAGUAUAUAAAAAUAAAUUAUUGAAUCGUUAAUGUCCAAAAGUGAUCUUCAGGUCAAUAAUUUUGGAUUCAUUAUCGUAUUUAAUGGACUGCAAGUCACUUUUAAUUAAUUACCUAAAUCGGGACCAAAUAUGGUCGAUCAUGGAAGCAAGAUAAUAUAGGGGAGAGGCCCUGAAGGUUCGGCUGCUACAUAUGGGGCUCAGGCCGAGAGGGUGUAGGGAGCCCAGCAACCAAGGCUAUUGGCUUUGGGUUGAAAUUGGGACAUGGGGCAGGCCUAGCAAAAGCUAGCCUUUAAGUUGAUCCAGGUAAGCCCAACAAAGUUGGGUUUCAUGUUUUGGGUUCGGUGUAAAUUAAGCCCAGCAACAUAGGGCUACUGGCAAGCAGGCCGAGACUAGGAUAAAGCCCAGUGAGCAUAUGGGCUGCUUCAGGCGAGUCAGGUCAUAGGCAACAAAGGAGCCCAACAACUCUGGGUUGUUGGGCCAAAGGACUCAGACAACAGGCCAAGAAAAAGUCUACAGGUUUUCUUGGUUGGGCUUAGGGAUUGCAUGCUCUAUAAAACUGAGUAGGCCGAAAGCCUGGGGUCCAGGUUAGCACAACAAAGCCCAAAGGGCUACUACCGCGAUGUCCAAGGUGUUAAACGACACUGUGCCAUGUCAUACUCCACACUGUUGUGCUUCAGGUCAGCGGUGGUGGCUCAGCGGAGCCACGGUGGUGGUACGGCAGUUGAGCCGCAUGGUUCCCAAUAAUUUUUAAAUUUUUUUUUUAACAUCCCUAAGGUUUGAAAAACCCUAAAUUGCUUCUAAUUUAUUAAUAUGCUUUGACUCACAAUUCCACAUAGCAAUUUAAUUGUGUAAUGCAUGAAACAAAUAUAUAUUGACAAAUUUAUGAACAUAUACAAUAUAUAUGUGUGUGUGUGUGUAUAUAUAUCGUAUGGAAAAUAUAAACAUAGAGGGGUUCGUGCAUCAUAGGGAAUGUUUUCAUGCUUCAUGGACGUUUCAAAUAUCUUCCUUUAUUUUAAGCGUAUCUAAUUGGCAAAAAACAAAUAAGAGCCUUUGAAUUUUGUGGAAGAUACGAUUCAUCAAUUCCUUAGCUUCUGGUAAGAGCGUCCUGAUAACGUGUUGUAGGCCUAUUUGAUUGAACAAAUCUAAGGGAUUAGAGAAAGAGGGGGUCGGCGGUAGCAAGAGGGAAGAGAGAGAUUUAAUUGUGAGGUGUGUGUUGUAUCACCCUCAUUGUGCCUUUAUUUAUAGUAGUAGGAUAGGCAAAAACCUUACCCUUUUAGAAUUACAACUCUUAAUAAGUAAUCAACUCCUAAUAGGAAUAUAAGAGAUAUUCCUAUAUCUAUUAGGAUUUAAACAAUCACAUUCUUAUUCUAAAUAUGAUUGCAACACAAACCCAAUAUAUGGGCCUAGAAAAACAGCUCUGAUAUCAUAUUAAAGUUUCAGAGAGAUGAGUAGAAUGGCCCUACAGCAAUAUUGACUCUAACUUAACCGCUUGUUGUCCAAUAGGUGUGAGAUCUUAUCCUAAAAGACUUUAAUGUAAAAUGGAUAUAAUCAUAAUAUGUUUUGUCAAACCUCCAAUGCAUGAUUUCCAACAUAUAGUCCAAUACAUCAAAGAUUUCCACCAUGUAACUAAGAAGAAAAAUAAUGCAUCAGUAUUAAUUGGAAGAUAUACUAAAAAAUUUAAGUACAUCUAUAUAUAAAGCCAAUGGAAAGGUGAAUAGUGAUUUUGGUGUCACCAUGCUUCAACAAAAACAUUUGGACAAAAAUGCUCCCAAGACAAAAAUCUUCAAAGGCAUCCCAAAAUAAUGCAUCAAAUAAGGCAGGGGCAUUUUCAUCAUUUUAAUAGUAUUUUUUUUAUAAAUAAUUUUUUGUGCUUUUUUUUUUUAAUUAGUGACUCACAAUAGGCUAGCAAUAAUGUGAUUCAAUUUCUCUAUUUUUAAACAUGUUCAAAACAUCUUAAGAGACGUGUAAUGUCGGUUAUAAAAAAAGUCUUUCUCGGAUAAUAAUGUGAUUAAAUUAGUUGUCAAUUGUUUUUUAACAAAUGAUAUUAUCUAUACUAAUGGGAAGGGGGUGGGCUUAGCCUCACAAUGAGAUAGCAAUAAUGUGAUUAAAUUAGUUGUCAAAUGAUUGUUUUUUUUAACAAACAAUAUUAUUUACACUAAGGGGAGGGGGGGCUUAGCCUCACAAUGGGCUAGCAAUAAUGUGAUUCAAUUAGUUGUUCAUUCAAUAUUAUUUUUUCUAUUUUUAAACACAUUCAAAACAUCUUAAGAGGCAUGUAACGUUGGUUAUAGAAAAUGUCUUUUGCACGUGGAUAAUAAUUCAAUCAGUUAUUUAUUCAAUAUUAUUUUCUCUAUUUUUCUAUAUGUUAUACAUAGCAGGUUUGUGAAAUUCCAAGUUUAUCCUUCUUGUUUCUUUUUUGUCGUGUUCCUUCAACAUGGGACCAAUGACGUAGAUUUCAAAUUGCAGCUAUGGCUGUCUAUUCCAAUCACAGCCACAAUUAGAAUAACUACAAAAGUGGCACUCCUAUUGCGACCCCAACUUUUUUAAAGGGUGAUUCUCUUCCCUCUUAAUUUAUUUUUCUUUUCUUUCCUUUUACUUGAAAGGUUAUGGUUAAUCCACAUCAAUCUCUUAUAUUGAUUUUUUUUUCGGUAACAAUAUAUUGAUUUCUUUAUAGAAAUAAUACGAUAAAAAAUAAAGUGUGAGAGGAGGAGAAUGAAGAGAAUAAGAAUGGAACGAGAGAAAAUCUUACUCUAACUUUUUGUUAUGCAAAUUUAUUUGAUGCCCAAUCAAAAAAUUUUGUUCAUACUUUUUAUGAAAUAUGUCCCGUCAUCUUCUGCAUAGUGAGCACAUGCCACUUCAACCAGAUCGUUUGCUAAGGAUUGUCGCGAAUAGAGACGGAGGGACGAAGGGACCAACAUUGGCCCAGACUUGCCCUCAUUUUUAUUCAAGAAAAAAGUAGACUAGUGCUAUUAGGCCAUCUCCAAGCAUCUCCAACCGAGGGCCAAGCCAGAUGGCUUGUGGGCCCCACGGAAUCCGAAAUGGCCAAAGGGCCAACCGGCUGGCCUAAUCCAGCCAACCAGCCUGGGCCGGCCUGGAUUUCAAAUUUCCAAUGGCUACUUGCUGAUGUCAGCUAGCCGUUAUAAUUUUUUUUUUUUUUUCACAGAAAUGCUUAACUAAAGGUUUUGGGCCAAAAUGUUUUAAAGAAUAUUUAAUUAUAGGCCCACAAAGUAUAUUUAACUAAAGAUUUGGGUGUUCUUUUUAUAAGCUUUGGAGGUUGCUCAAGUUCCUUCCACUGCCCCGGGACUCCCACCCUCUUCCCUUGUUUUUUUUUUCCCACUUCCUCUCCCACAGCUGAUGUGGGACUCUCCCACCCACUUCCUUUUUUUUUUAAUACUCUAAAUAAAACCUCUCACAUUUGACUUAAAAUAUAUAAGUUGCAUUUUUUAAAUUUUAGUUGUAGUUAUUAAAUUUAAGUUGUAUUUUUUAAAUUUUAGCGAUAGUUUUUAAAUUUUAGUUGUAGGUUUUAAAUUUAAAUAAUAAAUUAUGUUUGGCCCUUUGGCCCUUGGUUGGAAAUGGCUUUUAGUGAUAGGGCUAAAACGAACCCUAUGGCCCUCGGUUGGAGAUGGUAUGAAAUAUGGCUGUGUACUGUUCAUUAAAAUAUUAAUUUCUUGGAGGACUAGAUGGCUAAAACGAGCCAUCUAGCCAACCUUCCGUUGGAGAUGGUCUUAGGCCAUCUCCAACCGAAGGGUCCAGAGUGACACCCCGAUCCUAGAGUCAAGGCGUGCUGGCCGUCACGUGAGCGUGACGUAACCAAAAGUGCGAUGCGGAAGCAAAAGAUAAAAGAAUUACGAAGGAAUAAAAACCAACUACUAGCAAUAAUAACCAACUAGCAUACUAGAGUGAGUUUAAGUGUGAAACACACAUGUUCAGAGCAUAAGUACUAGAUGCAGUCAAGUAGGAACAUUACUAAAUUACAACACCCGAAGGUGAGUCCUACAUGAGGAGUCUGUCAGAACGCCGUGGGAAUCCUCGUGAGCCACCAACACCGCUAACUAGAACCUGGAGGGGCACAAAACAAGAUUGAGUGGGUCAAUAAAACAAAGCUUUUCGAAAACAUUUCACUUAAUAACAUUUAUAACCUCUCGCUGUAAAACAUGUAUACUUUCCCAGAAAAUAACAUAAUAUGCAUAUAAAUCUUCAAAUAUCUCAAUUCACCAAUCUUUAUCAAAAACCAGAAAGUAUGCCAUGCAUACAUAUAUAUGAAAUAUAUGAAUUAGUAAUUGUUGCAUAUAUAUGUUAAAUGGCGUUGUGGACGUACAGGUGAGUAUCAGGUGAGUUUAUAUUGUUCAUAUGAUUUAUUGAUGAUGUGAAUUGUGUUAAGAGCUCAUAACCUGCACCCUUGGUGUUAGUGCUUAUAUUAUUCACCCCGCACCACACACUCACCUUGGAUCCAAGUAGGUGCAUGUCGUACAGACCAUGAGAGGUGGUUCCGACAUGUCGUACAGACCAUUAGAGGUGGUUUCCGACUUGUAAAUGACUUUAGAUUAUUAUACAGUUGUUGAUGAGAGAAGCACUAGAGCGUAUUCUUACACCAUUCUUGUCGUACAAACUACUUCAGGUAGUUCCGAUUUAUGCAGAGUAGUGUCGUGCAUGUCACAAUGGUGACUCCGGUUGGGUUGGAUAUUGAGCUAUAAAAUUAACCGUACAAGACAGCUGCAGGGUCUCCGGUUGAUUCAUUAUUUCACCUGUUAUAUUGAUGCAUCCUUAUUCUGUUAUUGGGCCAGCACGCCUUGAUUCUAGGAUUGGGGUGUGUCACAGAGGGCCGAAAAUAGCCCGAAAACCGUCUCCAACCGAGGGUUAGGUCAGAGGGCUCGUGGAAUCUGAAAGGGCCAAAGGGUUGGAGGGCUAGCUGCAUGCCUGGGCUGGCCAGAAAAAACAUUAACUUGUCGAUUAUAACCGACAUGAAUGUUUAAGCUAAAAUUCAAAUGCGACGACUAGCUAUUACAUUUGAAUUUUUUUUUUUUUUACAGUUUUAUUAUUAUUUUUUAUUUACAAAAUUUUUCCUAUAACUUCUACUUUUCAUUUUUUUUUUUUAAAAAAAUUCUUAUAACUUUUAUUUUACAAAAUUUGUUUCAUAUUUUUUUAAAAUUCCAUUUUUUCCUGUAACUUCUAUUUCACAAAAUUUGUUUCAUUUUAUUUUAAAUUCUAUUUUGUUCCUAUAACUUCUAUUUCACAAAAUUUGUUCCAUAUUUUUUUUUAAAUUAUAUAUUUUUUUCCUAUAACUUCUAUUUCACAAAAUUUGUUUCAUAUUUUUUUUAAAUUAUAUUUUUUUUCCUAUAACUUCCUAAGUCAUUAUACAAUAUUAUUAAAUUAAGUAACAUGAAACAACAUUAAAUUAAAUUAAGUAACAUGAAACAACAUUAAAUAACAUUAACGAACAUACAAAUUAUACAACAUAAAAAAACAUUUAACAACAUGAAAUUUAAACAACAUUUUUAAAAACAUUUAACAACAUAAAACUUAAACGCCUACUCCAUGCUUCUUUUGGCCCAAAGAUGUGCAACAAGAUCCUGUUGUAGGUACUUGUUUGUGGCACGAUAACGUAUCAUUCUAUAGCGCCUCAUGUACUUAUUUAUAGAGAUACUAGCAGUUCUUGGAUUGAAAGGCAUUAGGCCCCUCAUAUAUUUUUGCACGAGCCUUUCUUGACCUAUUUGGAUCUUCUUGGUUGUCAUCGAACUCUCCAUCAAUAUACCCAUCUUGGUCAUCCUCCACUAUCAUAUUGUGUAAUAUGAUGCAAGGCAUCAUGAUGGAGUCCAAGUUUUCUCGACUCCACCCUUUUGCCAGUUUGCUAAUGAUCUUCCACCUUGCUUGUAGAAUACCGAAAGCUCUCUCAACAUCUUUCCGGUAUGCCUUUUGGUGUAAGGUAAAGAACUUUUCUGUGUCAUUCCUAGGGUUUGGAAUUGCUUGGACAAGUGUCGCCCACUUUGGGUAGAUAUCAACUGCCAAGUAAUACCCCAUAUUGUAUUGACAGUUGUUGAUGUAGUAGUCAAGUUGAGGUGUUUUACCUUCCGUCAAGUUAUUAAAUAAGGGUGAACGCCCAAGAAUUGUAAUGUCAUUUUGGGAUCCAAGGACUCCAAAGAAAGCAUGCCAAAUCCAUAUGUCAUAUGAGGUAAGCGCCUCUAACACAACAGUUGGCUUUCUCGACUUUCCGUUAUAGCCUUUUGUCUUAUGGUGGGAUAGUUGUUCCAAUCCCAAUGCAUGCAGUCUAAUGACCCUAUCAUGCCCGGAAACCCUUAUGAUGAGGUGAGAAACCAAGGCGGUCUGCUUUAUCCCGUUUUUGUUGAAAGUAUGGAUUGACCUGGACAUCACGAAGUAAACGCUCGAAGACAUGAUGCCUCAUCCGGAAGCGACGUCUGAAAUCCUCUUCUGUGUACAUCGUGCUAGGGUUGAAGUAGUUUUUCAUCAUAUUGGCAUGCGCCAUCGCUCUGUUUCAUGGUUUGUAAAAGCGACCAGCAACAAAGCCACGCCAUUAAGGUUGUUCCUCAGUUAGCUGACUCACCAUGGCCGCAGCCAUAGCUGCUACUCUGUUUUGUUUGUUGCGCCUUACUUGAACUUCUUCAUCAGACUCCUAAUUUUCUUGUCUCAUUUGCGCCCAUUUUGCUUCCAAUUUGGAAUUGGAUGAGGACCCCCAGUUGGAAUCCGAAGAGGAUCCAAAGUUGGAAUCCGAAGAGGAUCCAAAGUUGGAAUUCAUUGCAAACUUGAAUUGAAAAAGAUUGAAUUGAAAUAGAUUAAAUUCAAAGUUGUGUGAAUUAUAGUCCAAUAUCCACCCUAUUUAUAGAAAAAAAAUGCAAAUCCAAUGGCUAGCUGACGUCACUUGUCGUUGGAUUUGAAUUUAAGUUGUAGUUUUUAAAUAAUAAAUUAUGUUUAGCCCUUUUGCCCUCGGUUGGAGAUGGUUUUUUGUGAUAAGGCUAAAACGAACCCUAUGGCCCUCGGUUGGAGACGGAAGCAAAUAUGGUAUUGUACUGUUUAUUAAAAUAUUAAUAUCUUAGAGGGUCAGAAGGCUAAAAUGAGCCCUCUGACCAGCCCUCAGUUGGAGAUGGCCUUAGGACCCCAACAUUUGCCCAACCAGGCUAGGAAGCCGAUUGUCUGCCCUUCUGUUUGGGUGUCAUUCUCAUCCCUUCCUAUUUUGUGCGGUCACGGUUAAGCCACGUUAACAUUUUAUAUUAAUUUUUUAUAAAGAUAAUAAGAUAAAAAGUAAUAAGAAUAUAAAAUAUUAACGUGACUUAACCGUGAUCACACAAAUAAAAAGGAAUACGAGGGACACCAAACAGAGGAUAGAUAAUUUGCUUCCGCCAGGCGAACCCUUUCUGACUUCUCAACAGAGCAGCCGCUUUACAAGACAAGACAAGACCUCCGCUGCUGCUAGACUGCAAAGUUGCCAAAUCAACAAAGGCUUUAUCUUCUCUCUUCUAUUUUUAUUUUUUAUUUUUUAUUUUUGGUCAAUAUCUUCUCUUUUCUAAAAAGAAAAAAAAAUAGGCAAUUGAGAUUUAAUAGGGUACUAUUGUCCACACAUUUAUUUUUGUAUUUCAUAUAUCUCUUUUACUUUUUGACUUAAAUUAUUCUAGACCUUUUUUUUUAUGUCGUUACUGACUAAAGAUCAAACAUGACCUGGUUGGAAAGAUCAGAAUGCUUUCUUAAAUUACAUAGCCAUACGAGGGUUCAAGUUUUGGUUGAUAUUUACAGAAUUGAUUAUACUUCUUGAAAACAAAGAUUUGAAGUGGUCUAUACUUUAUUGAGUAUUCAAUAUAAUUCACACAUUUGUGUAAAAAUCAGUGCAAAUGAAGUAAUACGAAUGUCUCUAGUAGUCGGCCUAUAUCUAUCAACCGGUUGAUAAAAGCGAGAGAUUGAGAUAUGUUUGCUAUUUCUUCCAUCAAUCUUCCGAAUAUAAUAAAUUAAAUAUGAUCAAUGAAAUAGAAAUUAUAAAAAUGUGUGACAAUUAGCAAUUUGGCAAAUGCUCUUGUUUAUUAUAUUAUUUAAUAUGUGGUUACCGGUACUCUUGUCAAUUUCAUACUCUUGUAUGGGAAUUGCCGAAUUGAGCUUUAUCUUCUCCUUUGUUAUAUUAUUUUAUAUGUUGAUAACCUUGUUUUCUGCAAGGUUCAAUGAGAUCAAAUCUCGAAACCCACGUCCUGAGGCAAGUGACCCUUGUGGUGAUAGAUUUUUCAAUGUGAACGGUAUACGGAAUGAUACAUCAUAUCUUACUAAAUAAAUAGUAGGAUAUAUGUGCUAAAAAGUUAAUAACUUAAAAAAUAAAAUUUCUCAUAAUUCCUAUUAAAACACAUGAUAUACCAUUUAUGUUUCCGUCAUAACAAAAAAUUUCUUCAUUGUGGCGCCAUACUCUUAUGGCCCCCAGCAUGAUGUUUUGUGUGUACCAAGUAAAAGUGUAAUGUUAAAGAUAAUAAAUUUAUAAAUAAAUGAUGUAUCCCUGAUAAGAAAUAUUAUGCUUAUUAACGUUUAAGUAAUAAUUCAAUUAUCAAAUUUUAUGUUAUUUAGUUUACAAAAUUUAGUCUAUAAAUUUAGUCUUCCUAAUAUUACCCUAGGUAAAAUUACAAAUGAAUUUCUUGGUGUAUCUUACAAUAUUUAGUUUUUAACUUUCUAUGACGCUGAUUGGUUGGUAAGCAACGAGGAUACCUUUAUUACCUUGUGGCGUUGGUUUUUACCAUUUAACGAAAACCAGCAUGUCACUUUCUCAUAACCUCACUGGACUUUGGCAUCCCCGCACAGGUCAUCCUUCAUCAGCCGUUUACAAUUUGUAUCUAACAAUUUUUUGAAUUAUCAUUUUAAUUCGAGUCAUGUGUGCGAUGUUUCUCGUUGGCAAGACAAAUUCGCCAACCUUUUGAAAUUGGAUAAACUAGGAAAACUAAAUUUGGAUAUAAAAUUUGUAAACUAAAUAAUGUAUCAUUAAUAGAAAUAAGUAUGUUUAUCAAAGUGUAAGUAAAAAAUCAAUUAUCAACUUUCAUAUCUUUUAAUUUUCAAAACUUUGUCUACAAAUUUAAUUUCUCUAGCAUUAUUCUUUGAAAUUAGUUCUAUUUCAACAAGACCAUUUGCACUUUUACAUUGUGACAUUUGAGGUUCUAAUAAAAAAUUCUCUUACUUGGGCUUAUUGUUUUCUAUCUAUUUUCUUUGACUUUUUUCACCUAAGUUUUCUUAUUAUGCGACACAAUCACGAAAAACAAACCACGUUGCAAUCUUUUUUUGUCUUUGUUGAAACACAGUUUCAUAUUAAAGUCCAACAAAUACGUGUGAAUAAUGGGAAGAAUUUUUUUUCCGUGUUCUUUUCCAAUAACGGCAAAAUUAUCAACAUUCUUGUAUCUCUAGAUAAUUUUUUUUAACAAAUAAUAUUAUUUAUAUUAAGGAGGUGUUUGAGAAUGAGUUAAGUCUCACAAUAGACUAGCAAUAAUGUAGUUUAAAUUCACCUUCGGUGAGAAUUGAACUUAAGAUCUUUCGCUUACAAGUGAAAAUAUAUAUUACUAGACUAUAAUACUAAAUGCCUUGUAUCUCUAAAUGUUAGAAUUCCCUUAUUGUACAAGAACUACUCAUGUAUAUAUUUUUAUCUUAUCAAUGAGAAUUAUUCAUUCAAGCCAAAUAUAUUUUUUCUACAACAUCCAGGGCAUUUUCUAUCUAUAUAACUGGUGAAGCAAAAGAAAUCCAAUAAUGAUUGUUUAUUUAUUUAAUUUUUUUUUUAUAUCAAUGGAAAAGCUAAUAAAAAUGAGAGACCAAAUCCCACCAACUAAUAUGAUCAAUCAAUUCACAUCCUCAACCUGAUUACCUCGCGAAGGGCCUAUAUUUCGUCUACGUUGAUGUACACCAGCACUUACAUUUAAAGAUUUUAUCAUAAAUGGUCAUUGAAAUUAACCAUCACCAUCAAGAUGGUCUCUGUAAUUAAAAAUUAAUCAAUGUAGUUCUUGAAAAUAGAUGUCACAAAUCAAUGUGGUCAUUCUGUUACAAUUUUGUUAAAAAUUCCGUUAAGUGCUGAUGUGACCCACACCAAAUUUAUGGAUUUUUAUCACAAAUGGUCUCUGAAAUUGACUCACACCAUCAAAAUGGUCCCUUAAAUUAACCAACACCAUCAAUAUAGUCUCUGAAAUUGAAAAACAAUCAAUGUAGUGUUUUGAAAAUAAGUGUAGCAAAUUAAUAUGAGCAUUCCGCCACAAUUCUGCAAAAAAAAAAAAAUGUUAUAUGCUGAUUUGGGUUUAAUAAUUAAUUAAAAAAGUUGCCUAAAUAUCUUUUUGCACAAUGAAUUUUAUUUUCUUAUAGUAUGGCCUACUCCGAAGAGAGCUCCCUUCCAUAAAUUUUCAAAGGCACAAGGCUUAACCAAGGCCUAAGAGAGGAUGUGGAAAUAGUUUUCAACCAAAAAUAGACGCACCUCAGUUAUAACCUCAUUAUCUCAAGGCAGAUUUCGUCAUUCUUUGCAUCACCAAACCACCAAGGAAGCGCCUAACAAACUCUCUAAGAUUAAGAUUGUGAGGAUGUUAAUCGCAUAAAUGUUAACGGUGAUGUCCCAUAAGUCGUUACAAAUGGACCAAGCCGUCACCAAAGGUGAUCUCGAUCCAAGUUCAAUUUGGUGAGGGUGUUGAAGUAUGGAAAGAUGGGUGUAUUGAGAUUUCUUUUUAGAGAAUAGAGAGUGAAGGAGGUAUAGAAAUGUGGACUAGGAUCGGAGGUGAUUGAAGGACUGGGUUUUUGGGUUGACAAUUUUUUAUUAACUAUUAAAUUAUUAAGCCUAUUUGUAAUUUUUUUUAAAUUUAAUUAGACUUGUGUGACCUGUUUAUGUGUCACAUCAGCAUAUAACAUAAUUUUUGACAUAAUUGUGACGGAAGAACUACAUUGAUUUGAGACACUGACUUGAGGGACUACAUCGAUCAAUUUUCAAUUUCAGGGUCCAUUUUGAUGUCACAAGUCAAUUUCAGGGACCAUUUUGAUGUCAUGGGUCAAUUUCAAAGAACAUUUGUGAGAAAAAAGGACUUAUAGGGUCCAUUUAUGUGUCACAUCAGCACUUAACAGAUUUUUUUAAUAGAAUUGUGAGAGAAUGACCACAUUGAUUUACGACACUUAUUUUCAGGGAUUACAUUUGUGAUAAAAACCCUUCCAUUUAAUGAUUAAUCUAUCUCCUUUACAAAAAGAAGAAAUGAGACAAACUCCAACCCUUGGAGUAAGUACCAAAGAUUUAGGCCAAAGAAAAUUGUGGAGCCCAUAAGUGAGAGUGGAACAAGGGAGGUAAAGUGGACUUGCCCAGCAUAGACUCACGCAUGGUCAGUAUGCGCUUGGCAGCGUCAGGUUCUCUGGCCCACCCACGUGGGGUUGUUGGGCUCGUCCCCAUGACACGAGCCCAACGGCUCUUUUUGGUGAUUCGACGGCCAUAAUUCAAAUGGAUCUUGGAAAUCUAAUAGUCCACUUUAAUUUAUUUAAUUUUUAGUUUUAUAUUUAUAUAUUUAUUGAAUCCAACUACUGAAAUCGAAUAUAAUCAAAUCUAAUGAUAUAAAAAAAGAUCUAACAACCCAAAUUUAAAUUCAACGGCUAAAAUAAUUAAAAAAAUUAUUUAACUCAAAAUUCACCCAAAUUUAGUGAUUUUUCAAUAUUUAUCAGAAUUUAAAUAUUUUAGGUUAAAAUGGUCAUAAAAUAAAAUUAAAAAAGUAUACAUAAUUUUUUAUUCUUUAAUAACCUCGUGCUAAAAAAUUUAGGCCAGGAUGAUUGGAGUAGAAAAGUUGUUUUUGGAUUAAAGCCUAAAUUUUCUGAACUAAAAAUUUUAGAUUUUAUUCCAAAGGUUGGAGAUGAUCUGAUAAUUAACUAAUGUUUGAUUUAAGCAUUUCGGCAAUGUAAAAUUGUUUAGACCCAAUUUUGCACUGUUAACCCAUUUAAUUGAGGUCGUUAGAUUAUUAAUAUUUUCUUUAGAUAUCACUACAGAUAUUAAUCGUUGUAGUAAUUGUCUUGGAGAUGCAUAUAUAACUUGAGAGUCGGAUAAAUCCAAUUCGGUAUUGUGCGUCCACGUGAGAGAAGAUGAAGAUAUUCGGUAUUCACCAUAAGAUCAAGAUGGAAUAACAGUGGAAUAUAUUUUUAGAUUCCUGACGCCAUGCGAAAAUUGAAAGAGUUGGAUUGAUGACAAAACUUGAUGCGACACUGACAUGGUAUUGGGGAUAGUGAUUAUCAUCUUUGCAAAGAUGAUUUGCAUGCCGUGAUGCCUUGGUGGAAAUGCAUGGCUAGAAGAUAAAUUGCAUGAUAAUUACUUGAAGUUAGCCGUGGUCUUGAUUUCCACAAUAUGAGGGGAUAAAAUGAAAAUUGUUCAGCUUACACUCUGCACCUAUAUAUUUUUAAUUAAAGAAUUAAUAUCUUUUUAAACUCAAAUUUUUUAUUUAAAUUACAUUUACAAACUCAAUUCAUUUAUCUUUAUACUCAUUUAGAAAAUAAAAUCCCAAAUUGAAUAAUUUGGUCAAGUUUCUAAUUAUUUAUGGGAAUGAAAGCUUUUUAGACUUCAACUUCUGAGAACAAGUUGAAUAAUUUGGUUAAGUUUCUACUUAUUUAUGAAUCUUACUUGUAAACGUUAUCUAUGCAUCAAAAAGUCUAAAAAGUAAAACUUGCUUGUGAGUCUGUGACACAAGAAAGAAAACCCUUCCUAUUCUCUCUGCUUGCUGCAAUGACUAGGCCAAUCUAAACACUGCCAAAGACGUCAAACACAUCUUACAAUUUAUAUUAGACAUCAUUGUGUUUAGCAACCUCGUCAAGUGCAUCUUACAGUUUGUAUUGAACAACACUGUGCUUGACAAUUGGCAACAUCGUACAAUUUGUAUCGGACAAACACUAGCUCCAUAGAGUCAAACAGUCGUGGAGCAUCUUACAAUUUGUAUUGGACAUCACUCAAGUUCGCCUGACUAUCUAUCCAAGUCUCUAUCAACAAGGGUUCUUUGAGUCCUUGUUGGAAGAGGUCACUUCAGUAGCUUUCUCAGCAAAGUUAGGAGUUACCAAGUUACAUCGGUUGGCACAUUGAAAACCGAACCUGUUUUAAGAUUGGAUAUUCACAAGUACAUUUUAAAGGCACUUCGGCAACCGAACCACAUUUAAAAUCAAGACACUUAUCUCCUUUGAAUAUUUGUGUCGGUAUAGUCUGGUACUGAUUCGGCGCACUUAUAUUUGCACAAAUAUAAUUGAAGCAACCGAGCCCGAUGCUGAUGAUUCAUGAACUUCAAAGUAACUAGUAGUCUUGUCUUCGAACUCUAGAACCUAAAGGCCGAGAUGAGUUCUUUCUUUGGCCGCAAUCAUAAGAUACAUAAAUUAACAAUGCGUUUGGCAUCUUUUUUUUGUUUAUAUUGAAACACAAUUUCAUAUUAAAGUCGAACAAAUACGUGUGAAUAAUGGGGAUAAUUUUUUUUCCAUGUUCUUUUCCAAUAAUGGCAAAACUAUCAACAUUCUUGUGUGUGUGUGUGUGUGUGUAUGUGUGUAUAUAUAUAUAGAUAUUAACAAACAAUAUUAUCUAGACUACGGGGGUUGGGGAGUGAGCUAAACUUCAUAAUGGGCUAGCAAUAACGUGAUUCAAAUUUGCUUUGCUUCUGACAAUAAUUGAACUUAAUACCUCUCACUUACAAAUAAAACGGAAUACCACUAGACUGUAGUACUAAUUGACUUGUAUCUCUAAAUAUUAGAAUUUCCUUAUUGUACAAGAACUACUCACGUAUAUAUUUUUCUCGUAUCAGUGAGAAUUAUUCAUUCAAACCAAAUAUAUUUUUUCUUCAACAUCCAGAGCAUUUUCUAUCUAUAUAUCUGGUGAAACAAAACGAAUCCAAUAAAAUGAUUGUUUAUUUUUUAAAAUCAAUGGAAAAACUAAUAAAAAUGAGAGACCAAAUCCCACCAAUAACAUGAUCAAUCAAUCACAUCCUCAAUCUGAUUACCUCGCGAAAGGCCUAUAUUUCGUCUACGUUCAUGUACACCAGCACUUCCAUUUAAUGAUUAAUCCAUCUCCUUUAGAGAAAAGACAAAAGAUAAUUAGCUGAUGUUCGAUUUAAGCAUUUCGUCAGUGCGAAACAUAAUCAAUUAUUGUUUACCCCAAAAAAAUAAAAAAAACACAAUCAAUUAUUCCAGAAACUGAUAACACAUUGUUUGUCAACCUCUUUAGAUUUGAAGUUGGGAACUUUUGACUGUUGAAUUAGUUGGACUAUAAGGGAAUGUUUAGGUGAAGGAGUUCUGAAUUUCAAGGGAAUUAGUCAAAAUAAAGAAAAACGUUGAUUACAAAAGGUUGGAUGAGAGGAAUUUUUUGGUUUUUUUUUUUUUAACAAACGAUAGUAUUUAUGCUGAAGAAAGAAGAUGUGCUAAACCUUAAAAUGUGCUAGUAAUAAAGAGAGAGGAAUUAGAAAAUGCACCACAUGAUUAUUACAAAGAUAUGCAAAAUGGAUUGUAAAUGACUUCUUUUAAGUACUUUGCAAAUCUCUCUCACAUGCCUAUUGUAAUGAUCAAGUUGUGCAUUUCUAAUCUUUCUAUUUAACUUUUGGUGAACUAUUUUUCAUCAUUAUAUGUAAAUCCGUUGAAAUUUGAAAAUUCCUCACCCAAACAUAACGUAAGUGAUUGAAUUGCCGACUUGAUAUAGGAUGAAAAGUGAAACAUUUUUGUUGUGUACGUGGAAUUAUGUAAUGGUAAUUGUUUUACUUGUAAAAGUCAUAGUGGGACUGGCAUACGUGUGUGAAGCCAACUAAGACAAUUUAUAUGCUUCGUUGCACUAGAGAAAUUUGAUUAGAACCCAAUGAACCUCUUUCCACGUUUAUGCACCAAGAAUUUUAACGUUAAGGCAAUAAAUUAGACAUUUCCAGCAGUAGCUGUACUAGAUUUUAUUGUAUUAGAAUUUCAAGACCAAGUUUUUUUAUUUGUCUAGAAAGAACUCUCUAGUAUCUUUUUGUACUCUCUUUAUGAAAAUCGAGGCUUAUCAAUUUGUAAUAAUCAUAAAACAAGAAGUGUUACAAAUAAGAGUUUUGCAAUAUUAACUCAUAUUUUUAGCAAUACAUCAAUAUUAAAAUUAUUUCCUGCACCAAACUAUAUUUUAUGGCUCAUCCAUUAUUUGUUUUAUUUUUCUAAGUUAUUACUCAAGGUCUGGUUAGGCACGACUAAGGUUUACUUAAAUUGGUUUUCUACUAUUAUUCAUUUGUACAUGAAUACCUCCUUUAAUAUACUCUAAUUUAUGUGAAAUAGGGAAAAUUCUGAAAUUUAGCUUGACUCUGACAUACUAAGAUUGAAGGAUGAAUGAAAAAGAAGUUUCAUUGACAUCCAACGACACUUACUAAAACCGUAUUAAUUUUAGUACUUUGAUUGAAACACAAACUGUUAAAUUUCAGUAUUACAUAAGAAAUUUAAUAAUGAAAAUUAAUAAUUCCUCCCUAAAAUCAUACAAAGAUUUUUAACCUCAAAUUCGAACUGUGUGAAAUUUAAUCAAAUAUUUCAGUUUUUUCAAAUAAAAUAUUUUAUUCUUAUUUUUAAAAUAGGGGAUGUUUUAAAUUAAAAAGGGUACAUUUUUAUUUAAAAAGUGAGUAAAUUUUACUCAAAAGUCUAUAAUUAGUAUGAGAACCUAGUUUCUUCUAGUUGGGUGUAUUCAAUUGGGUAUUUGAGAGAUUUCAAUGGAUUUAUAAAUCCAUAGAAGGAGUUUAAUUGAUUUGUAGAGAUUCCGUGUAAAAUUUUGAUUCAAUUCCCUCGAAAUCUCAUGGGGAGAUGUGAGAUUUGUGGAUGCUUAAAAUACACUACGAAAUCUCUCAAAUUCUCUCAAAUUCCUCAACAUUUUCAAAUUCUUUAAAAUCAAAUUCUAAUUGAAUACACCUGGAAUGUUAUAAACUUCUUUAAAAUCUUAAUGGAAUACACCCAAAUUUCUAAGGAUUUUAAUAAACUAUCUUAAAAUCUUAAUUGAAUACACAUUGAAUUUCAGAGAGUCACUUAAAAUCAUGAUUGAAUACCAUUAGAUUCAUUAAAGAAUUAAAAUCCCUCAAAAACUCAAUUCAAUGCACCCACUUUUUUUUUUUUUUAUAAUUUAUUUUGAAUUCUAGAUUUAGAGAGAAUGUUGAAAUUGAACAUUUAAAAUCUUCACUUUUCAGCUUUCAAGUGGGAGUUGAAUUAAUUUCUAAAGGAAGAAUGAAACCGUAAACAAAGGUAGAUUCACUGCGCCCACAUUCUAUUGCAAUAACAAUAGCUACCAACCACUUUGUUCAGAAGAAGGGGGAAAAAAAAUAAUUAAAAUGGAAAUCUGACAGCCACUCCAUACAUGAAAAUGACGAAGUAGGAUUCUCUUAUUUCUCAUGCCCUCACCUUCUAUUUGAAUAGUCGUAAUUUAGUUUUGUUGACAUCUUGUAUUAAUUUUUUUGUAGAUAGAGAAAGACAAAAAUUACAGAGAUGCUAUCAAAAGAAGGUAGUGUUAAAAUACAAGUCAAGGGUAAAUGAAAAUUAUACAUUAAAAUGGACAUGUCAACCUUAUCGUCUAUUUAUAUUAUAAUACAUAGCAUACUAUCUUUUAUUCUUGGUACACAACGUAUCAAUCAAUACUACACGGCAUGGUGUGAUAGUCAGAUUUAAAAAUUCAUCUAAAAAUACUCAUUUAAGGUUAACUUUUAUAAGUGAUCCACGAAAAUAUGGUUGGUUGUAGCGCUUUUUUCUUUUCAAGUCAAAUUGAACUUUAUUAAUAACCAUGCAUCAAGAUCGCACAUAAGGCAGAGAUGACAAAUGUAAUCAAGCAGUCGCAUAUGUCGAAAAUAUCAAAACAAUUUUACAAUCACAAACUUAUCCUGAAAAUCACAAACUUAUCUUGAAAAUUAUGUAAUUUCUAAUCACAAAGGACCCACGUUCCACCAACAAGAUAGCAGAUACUCACGGUAUCGGCACCAUGAGGAAAAAAAAUCAAACAGGCACAUAACAGUAAAAAAUAAAUAUACAGUGGGAAGGAACAUCAGAAGUCCAAAAGACAAAAAAGACAAAAGCUAACAAUACAAAACUUAUCAAUUAUUUGACAAAAGGAGCCAAAGAUAACUAAAAUAUGAAAAAAGCAAUCCAAAAGGAAUAUGUCUUGCCGAUCUUAAUUUAAGAAUCCGUUUGUAAUUGCUAAUGUAAAAACACUUCUCCUCAUCUCUGCCGCCAUGCAUAUAAAACUUUAUCCAUAUAACUUUACAAAAAGAUGGCAUUUUGUCAUCGUGAAUACAGGAAUGAAUGUCAUUCGAGACUACUUAAUUAAUGUUAUUAUUUGCAAUUACGUGUUGAUGUCAAACACCAGAAAGUCAAAUUGAAGCACUAUAAUGCCUAAGAAAAAGAUAAACACAAAUACUAAUCGGUCAAUGAUCUGCGUUUUCUCCUUUUCAUUGUUUCCACAUGGUGAUUUUAGUGUAAACAAAUCAAGGGAAAUGCUCAGUCCAAGUGCAUUAUACUCUGUCAAUGAGAUUCAUCCGUUCGUUCUUACGGAUUAUACAAACUAUGGACGGAAACUUACUCUUUUUCAAUUUUCUUAAGCUUUCAUCUUAUCUAUUGAAUCCACAUCAUACACUUAAAAUCCAGGCUCUAAGGUCAUUUGGCACUAUAUAAGUAGGAUAAUACUUGCUUCUACCGUAUUGGUGGACGUGCAUAUCCACUUCUUAUAAAUAGUGUAUUUUCAUCGUAAAAUUUUACAAUAAGAAUCAUCCAUUUUCUCAAUCAUCAUUUAAAGAUCAUCUCUACAAAAAUAAUUCGGAUCAGAGAUUGUUUAGUCAUCCAAAUGUAUCAAAUAAUUGGAUAGUUCAUUAUGAAUAUAUUACUUGAUAUACCUGCACUAUUGAUUUAUUCCACAAAUUUGAAUGAUUAAAUGAUUUUUUAUUCAAACAAUUUUUUACAGGGUUUUUAUCACAAAUAGUCCCUGAAAUUAAAAAUCAAUUAAUGUAGUCCAUGAAAAUAGGUGUCACAAAUCAAUGGGUCCUUCCGUCACAAUUAUGUUAAAAAUUCCGUUAAGUGUUGAUGUGGCAUGCGACAACCCGUCCCAAAAAUUUCGUUUUCUAUUUAUUUUAAUCGAGGGAAUUGACGAAAAUACCCUAGAAGUGAGAUCAUUGACUUUAGUUGACCAUCUUUUAGUAACUCAUACGUGUUAUUAUUUGUCGUACUCUCGAAGUACUCGACGAUCCAAACGUAUAGGCGUAAGCAGAAUCGAAAGCAGAACUAUGGAUAAAAUUUUAUAAGACUUCGAGUGCUGAAGACAAAUAGAUAAAUUUCAUAAUUGGGAAAUAUUUUUGUGACUUUUUUUUUGGGAGCCAUGUGAGUGGCUAUGAAGGAAAAGAGAGAGGAAAAUGGUUGCUGGCUAAUCAGGAAAAAGGGAAGGGAGAAAGGAGAGCUGGGAGGGUGGAUGGACCAACCAGGAGAAGAGGGAGAAGAGUCUAACCAAUCAGGAAGAGAAGAAAGAAGGAGACAGGAGAGAAGGGAGAAACGGGGAAUUACAACCCGCGAACUCGUAACUCGACCCGGUCGGUGUUCUUGCCAUUUCCAAAGGGUUUUGGCCCAUUUUUCUGACGAAUCGCAUCAAACCAACCCUUGUAAAACCCUCCAUGACCUUCCUUCUUCCUAUUACACCUCAAAAAUAAAGGGUUUUGGCUUUGAAAUUAGGAGAAACAGCACGGAGGGGUGCGGCGGGUUUGGGUUCAAUUUACCUAAAUCCAAAACUAAUCACACCCAUCUCUACCACCAUUAGACUUCCUUUGAGGUAUGGAACAAAGCCCAAUCAGUUGUAGGGGCGGCGGAUCAUCAAGGAGAAAGAAUCGAAGCACACCCACACUUAGGGUUCCGACGGAUUUUAGCUAAAUUGGGGCUUUUCCCGAUCAAAUUGGCCUUGGUCACAAGUAUGAAAGUUGCCCUACUCAUUGAGACCUUCAUUUCUAUAGUUUUUGAGAAUUUUUAGAAAUAGUUGAAUUUUUCGGCGAGUCGGGGCGGCCAACCGCCACCCGAGGCGGCGCGUGGUCAGGGGACCGUCAAUGUUAUUUUUAGGCUAAAUUAGAUGCCUUGAGUUCAAUUUUGGUAAUUGUAUAACGUAGGUUGAUUGUUUGGACCUAAAUUCAUUAAGAUAUGUUACUUGGUAAAAACAUGAAUUGACGACUGUUGGAUUGUCACCAAACUUUAAUACGUUAUAAUACAUAAUAUUUGAAGUUCAUAGGAACUUACGAAUCGGGAAUCCGAUAUACGGAUCUUCCCAAAUUGGAUUUGUAAGUUCAUAAAAUAAAAGGUUAACCGCCACUUAGUUUUGGCUAUUGGCGGAGAUACGACCAUUGGAUCAUAAUGAAACUUUAGGAUGUUGUUCUAGACGUAUAAUGUGGAUCUUUGGAAGCAAUGGACCCGAAAUCCGUGAUGCAGAUCUUUUGAAUUGAAUUACGUAGGGAUGUGUUUCAUGUAAAUUAUAUAUUCUAUUGGUAAGAACUCUGAGAUGUGAUUUGAUAAUUGUUAUAGGCAACGAUGGUUCAUGAUGUCUCGAUAUGCAUGCUAGGGAGUCGUAGCGUGGACCUCAGGUGAGCGGAUCUUUUCCUUUCUAUCGUAUAUAUAUAUAUAUAUAUAUAUAUAUAUAUAUAUAUAUAUAUAUAUAUAUAUAUAUAUAUAUAUAUAUAUAUUAUAUUAUUGAUAAUUCCAUAAAUGUUUAUAAAUUGAUUAUUGCUUAUAAUUACCGUUAAUGCUUUGAAGUACUGAUGCAAACUACGAAUGGCUUGAUCCCUAUUUAGGGUGCGUAGGCAGUCUAACGAAACGUUAGAUGCAGCCAUAUCAUAAAUGAGAUUAAAUAAUUGAGACAAUAGCCUUAUUUGUGAAAUUGUGCAAGGUGGGGGACCUUGGUAGAAGAUGUAUAUAUAUAUAUAUAUAUAUAUAUAUAUAUAUAUAUCUAUAUAUAUUUGGCACCACUACGAUAUGGUUAAGUUUUGAAUUGCAUCAAGGCAUGUCCAUAAGUAUAUUAUUGAGCAUUAUUAUUAUGAACGCUUUAAGGUACGAAGGUGAACGUGGGAUGCAUAGAUAAGUUCAGGUGAGUAUAUGUUGUGAAAUGUGAAAUGCAUAAUUGUGAUUACAUUUUAUUUAGAACGAUCGAGUGAUGGCAUGACUAUAUUAUAUUUUGAGCAACUUCGACACUAUCAUACGGAUUGCUCAUGAGUCGUACAUGUUAUGUUGAGAUGUAUUGAGAGCUCAUAAACCUGCACCCCCGUGGCCAGGGUAUAGUCUUUCGCGUGAUGUUCACCUCCUGCACCUUACGCUCACCUUGGAUCCAAGGUAAGUGCACAGCCCUGUCUUACAAACCACUUUAGGUGGUCCUGACUCGUAGGUGACCUGCAAUUAUUCGCACAGUCUUCACGUGAUCGUAGCACUUGAGCGUAUUUAUUUACACCCAGUCCUGUCGUACAUACCACUUUAGGUGGUUUCGACUCAUGUGCAGGUAUACUUAUUGAGCUAUGGAUAAGUCGUAUAGGUCACUAAAGGUGACUCCGAUUUAUGAGCUAGCAUAUGUGAUGAGAUAUGUGACGAGCUAGCAUAUGUGAUGAAUAUGUGAUGUGACGAGCUAGCAUAUGUGAUGAAUAUGUGACGAGCUAGCAUAUGUGAUGAAAUGUGUGACGAGCUAGCAUAUGUGAUGAAAGAUGUGAUGAGCUACCAUAUGUGAUGAAAGAUGUGAUGAGCUAGCAUAUGUGAUGAAAUAUGCGAUGAUCUAGCAUAUGUGAUGAAAUAUGUAAUGAGCUAGCAUAUGUGAUGAAUAUGUGAUGAGCUAGCAUAUGUGAUGAGAUGAAUAUGUGAUGAGCUAGCAUAUGUGAUGAAUAUGUGAUGAGCUAGCAUAUGUGAUAAAGUAUGUGACGAGCUAGCAUAUGUGAUGAAAUAUGUGAUGAGCUAGCAUAUGUGAUGAAUAUGUGAUGAGCUAGCAUAUGUGACGAGAUAUGUGAUGAGCUAGCAUAUGUGAUGAAUAUGUGAUGAAUAUGUGAUGAGCUAGCAUAUGUGACGAGAUAUGUGAUGAGCUAGCAUAUGUGAUGAGAUAUGUGAUAAGCUAGCAUAUGUGAUGAACUAGCAUAUGUGAUGAGAUAUGGGUAAGUCGUACAGGUUACCAUAGGUGACUCCAACUUGCGUGCUAGUAUGGGUUAUUAAUCACAUGAUUAUUUGAUAUUGCUGAUGAGAUGCUAUGUUGUGACAUAUUUAUGAUUUUUCUGGAAACUAUACAAGUGUUGUAACGAGGGGUUAUAAUGUUUUAUAUGGUUUCUAUUAAAAUUUUAUUUCCAGGGCCACUCACUCUUGUUUUGUCGUCACCCUCCAGGUUUUAUUAGCUGAGCUUUCUUAUCGUCGAAGAUUCGUGGCGAUUCUUAAUAUUGGAGAUUAUUUCGAGGUACGAUUCUUAAUUCACUCUACUAUAUUUGCUUAUGCUCUAACGUCACGUGUGAAGUGGGUUCAUUCCCGCUCACCUCCGCAUUUUGGUAUUUAGGCACUCUUAGGUUUAAAUUUAUUCACAUUUUUCCACAUCAUCAUACUUUAUGGCUUUGUCAGCCUCCAGGUGUCGGCCAACACAGCUUGAUUCGGAGUCUUAGUGGACAUGUCGGGUCGGGUGUGUCAUGGCACAUAAAUGGGCCCAUAAGAUUUAUGGGUUUUUAUCACAAAUGGUUCUUAAAAUUGACCCACACCAUCCAGAUGGUCCCUGAAAUUGACCCAGACACCAUCAAUCUGGUUCUUGAAAUUGAAAAUCAAUGUAGUCCUUGAAAAAUAGGCGUCGCAAAUCAAUAUGAUCAUUCAACCACAAUUCUGUAAAAACAAAAUUGUUAUGUGCUGAUGUGGGUGUAAUAAUUAUUUAAAAAAGUUGUCUAAAUACAUUUUUGCACAAUGGAAAUUUUUUUCUUAUAGUAGGGCCUACUCCGAAGAGAGAUCCCUUCCAUAAAUCUCAAAGGCACAAGGCUUAACUAAGUCAUAAGAGGGGGUGUGGAAAUAGUUUUCAACCAAUAAUAGACUCACCUCAGUUAUAACCUUAUUAUCUCAAGGCAGACCUCGCCAUUCUUUGCAUCACCAGACCACCAGGGAAGAGCCGAACAAGGUCUCUAAGAUUAAGGUUGUGAGAAUAUUCAUCGCCUAAAUGUUAAUGGUGAUAUCCCAUAAGUCGUUGCCAAUGGGCCAAGCCGUCACCAAAGGUGAUCUCGAUCCAGGUUUCCGUGAAGAGUGUCGAACUAUGUAAAGUAUGAGUGUAUUGAGAUUUGUUUUUUAGAGAAUAGAGAGCGAAUGAGGUAGAGAAGUGUGGACUAGGAUCAGAGGUGAUUGCAAGAUUGGGUUUUUGGGUUGAUAAUUUUUUAUUACGUAUUAAUUAAGCCUAUUUGUAAUUUUUUAAAUUUUAGACUUGUGUGACCCAUUUAUGUGUCACAUCAGCACAUAACAUAAUUUUUGACAAAAUUAUGACGAAAUGACUACAUUAUGGGGCCCAUUUAUGUGCCACAUCAGCACUUAAUAGAAUUUUUAACAGAAUUGUGAUGAAAUGACCACAUUGAUUUGCGACACCUAUUUUAAAGGACUACAUUGAUUGAUUUUCAAUUUCAGGGACCAUCUUGAUGGUGAUGGUCAAUUUCAGGGACCAUUUGUGAUAAAAAUCCUUUUUUAAAUGAAUAAUCUUCAAAAUAAAAAUUAAGAAAUUGAAUAAUUCUAAUAAGAAAUUUCUAGGAUGAAAAUACCAGCACCCUUUGAUAAUUGUAACCUCCCCAAAUCUUGUUCUAGGUACAACUUCAGGUGUUAGCUAGCACAUUUCACCUCAAUUGGCGGUUUACAGUUGGCCUUAUCCCAUCGUUAGCUUGCCCAAGAAAAGUUGCAAAUUUAUGUAGCAUACAAGUGUCAUAGCAAUGUAGACCUCCAAUUUCUUAGGCCAUCUCUAACCGAAAGGUCCAGAAGGCUGAAAAUAACCUGAAAACAGUCUUCAACCAAGGUCCAAGCCAAAGGGCUCAUGGCCUUACUGGACAAAAAAGGGCCAAAAGGCCAACCAGCCAGCCCAAACCAGCCGGCCCCGGGCCGAGCCAAAAUUUGAAUUCCAACGGUAACUAGCUGAUGUCAGCUAUCCGUUAUUUUUGAAUUUUUUUUUUUCACAAAGUUUUUUUUUCCCAUAACUUCCUAAGCCAUUAAGCAACAUUAAAUAACAUUAAGUAACAUGAAACAACAUUAAAUAACAUUAAACAACAUAAAAAAACAUUUAACAACAUGAAACUAAAACAACAUUUUUAAAAACAUUUAACAACAUAAAACUUAAACAUCUACUCCAUGCUUCUUUUGGCCCAAAAAUGUGCAAAAAGAUCCUAUUGUAGGUACUUGUUUGUGGCACGGGAACAUAUCAUCCUAUAGAGUCUCAUGUACUCACUUAAAGAGAUACUACUAGUUCUUGGAUUGAAAGGCAAAUUAGGCCCAUCAUAUUUUUGGCACGAGCCUUUCUUGACCUAUUUGGAUCCUUUGGUCGUCGUCAGACUCUCCAUCAAUAAACCCAUCUCGCUCAUCCUCCAGAAUCAUGUUGUGUAAUAUGAUGCAAGACAUCAUGAUGAAGUCCAAAUUUUCUCGACUCCACCCUCUUGCUGAUUCCUUGAUGAUCUUCCACCGUGCUUAUAGAAUACUGAAAGCUCUCUCAACAUCUUUCUCGUAUGACAUCAUGAAGUAAACGCUCAAACACAUGAAGCCUCAUCCGGAAGCGACGUCUGAAAUCCUUUUCUGUGUACAUCAAGUUAGGGUUGAAGUAGUUGUUCAUCAAAUUAUCAUGCGCCAUCGCUCUGUUUCGUGGUUUGUAAGAGGGACUAGCAAUAGAGCCACCCCAUUGAGGUUGUUCCUUAGUUGGUUGACACACCAUGGACGCAGCCAUGGCUGCCAUAUAUUGUGUGUUGCGCCAUGCUUCAUCUUUUUCAUCUGACUCCUCAUUUUCUCAUCUCAUCGGCACCCAUUUUUCUUCUAAUUCGAAAUUGGAUUCGAACUGCGAGUUGGAAUUCGAAGAGGAUCCAAAGUUGGAAUUCAUUGCAAACUUGAAUUGAAAGAGAUUGAAUUCAAAGAUGUGUGAAUUAUAGCCCAAUAUCCAUCCUAUUUAUAGCCCAAACAAAUUCAAAUCCAAUGGCUAGCUGACGUCAGUUACCGUUGGAUUUGAAUUUUUUUUUUCGGCCAAAAUUAAAAACAAAAUAUUAAUUUUUUUUAAUUUUUUCCUAUAAAUUUAAGUUGUUGUAGUUUUUAAAUUUAAAUAAUAAAUUAUAUUUGGCCCUAUGGCCCUUUAACCCUUGGUUGGAGAUGAUUUUUUGUGAUAUGGCUAAAAUGAGUCAUAUGGCCUUUCGGCCCUCGGUUCAAGAUGGUAAGAAAUAUGGUUAUGCACUGUUGAUGAAAAUAUUAAUUUCUUGGAGGGCCAAAGGGCUAAAACGAGCCCUGUUAGGCCAUCUCUAACCGAGGUCUGGCCAGAGGGUUCGUUUUAGCCCUCUGGCCCUCCAAGAUAUUAAUAUUUUAAUGAACAGUACAAGACCAUAUUUGCCUCCAUCUCCAACCGAGGGCCAAAGGGCCAUAGGGCUUGUUUUAGCCCUGUCACAAAAAAUCGUCUUCAACCAAGGGCCAUAGGGCCAAACAUAAUUUAUUAUUUAAAUUUAAAAACUACAACAACUUAAAUUUAAUAACAGCAACAACUUAAAUUUAAAAACUACAACAACUUAAAUUUAAAAACUACAACUUAUAUUUAAAAGCUACAAAUUAAAUUUAAAAACAACAUUAAAUUUAGGUAUUUAUAGGAAAAUAUUUAGAAUUUUUAAGAAUUAAAAAAAAAUUUUGAACCCAAUGGUAACUGGUGUCAGGUAGCCGUUGGAUUCAAAUUUGUGUUUAAACAUUCCUAUCAGAUAUAACCGACAUGAAUAAAUUUAUAUUAAAUAUAUUCCUGUCGUUAUAUCCGACAAGAUUGCUGGAAUUUCUGGCCAACCCCAAGCUAGCUGCAUGUGGCCAGCCCUUUGGCCAUUUCAGAUUUCGUGGGGCCCAUGAGCCCUCUAGCCUAGCCCUCGGUUGAGACGGUUUUUGGGCUAUUUUCGAGCCUCUGGCCCUCUGGACCCUUCGGUUAGAGAUGACCCGAUCCUCCUUCGAUUGGAGAUGGCCUUAUAAAAGGCCACUAGACUUGCACUAGUUUUGUACCACCCAUGUCACAGUUUGCACAUCUCGCUAGUUCCCAUAACAAUGUCACCUAAAUGGCUUCUCGUAUUAUUCCUGGGUGUGAUACUUCUGAGCACUUAUUCUUUUGCUGAUCACCAUAAACCACCUCAUAAGCCACCAAUUCAUAAGCCUCCUACUUUGGAAGUGGAGAAGUCAGUUGAAUUGGAUGACAAACCUUGCAAUUGGAUGACAAACCGCCGAUUUCUAUUGAUUAGGGGUGGGUUCGGUUUAAAUCGGUUCGGUUUUUUGUCAAAACCGAAACCAAACCGAAAUUUCGAUUCGGUUCAUUUUUUUUUCGGUUUUUUCCGGUUCGGUUUUUUCCAGUUCGGUUUCAGUUCGGUUUCGGUUUUUUGUUUUUUAUUUUUUCAAAAUGAAAAACAUUGAAAUUUUAAAUUUUAACAUAUCCAACACAAUCAUAACAUAAGCAUUCUAACUAGAAUCAAAGACAAUGAAAAUAAACAUUUAAAGUUGAACUAAAAUCAUCAAUCAAGUCUUCCAAAGUCCAAACUAACAACCUCACAACACAAAAAUCGUACAAAUGACUUAGAAAAGUUUCAUUGUAUGAUGUUGUUCAAAGAUCAGGGUUGUUUGCUUGAAAUUGCAUGUUGACAACUUGAUUAGUAAAAGUAAUGCAUGGGUGGAUUUAUUUAGUGUGUGUUGGAUUCUUUUCCAUCACAAAUUACCCAAGUAAUCUACCCAAAAUAAAUGUUUAUGGAUUCUGUUACAUGUUAUAUGAGAGUAGAUUUGGAAAAGAAAGCUGGGGCAGAAGUAGACAGUGCUAUGGAGAUGGAUGUAGGUACUUCAGGAGGAGGUAGAAAUAAUGGGUUAGGGUUUAGAGUUUUUAUAGGCCUUUUUUUAAUAUUUUGAGCUUAAAGUUUGGCAACACAUUGGGUUUAGCAUAUUUUAACUUACAAAUUGGGUUUAGAAAAUAAUACCCAAAACAAAUAAUUAAAUAAAAAAAUUAAUUUAAUUAAUUCGGUUCGGUUUGGUUUUUAGAUCACUAAAACCGAACCAAAACAAAAGAAUUCGGUUCGGUUCGGUUCGGUUUUUUCAAUUCGGUUUGGUUUUUUCGUUCGGUUUGGUUUUUUCGGUUUCGGUUCGAUUUGGUUUUCGGUUUUUUUCGGUUUUCGGUUUUUGAACCCACCCCUACUAUUGAUCGUGAGCCUUUAGAGGACUUGUACAAGCAGCCAACGGAGAAGAAACCACCACAAAAUCUCUACAAGCCACCCCCACAAGCCUCCUUCACCCAAUUAAUUACUGCAUGCAUGCAUGCUAACCUAGCUAUGUUAAUACAUAUGAACAUGUAUAAAAAUAAGAGCUGCAAGUGAUGCAAUAUUAUGCUUUUAUAAGCUUUACUUUAAUAGCAUUACUAUUAAUCUACUAUACUACCCAGGACCAGUCUUGAAUUUUUUGGUGACCAGCGCAAAACCUCAAAAUGUGCCUUUUUUUAAUACGGAAACAUAUGUUUAAAAAAAAAAUAUUAACGAGGGCUGGAACACGGUCGAAGCUUGGGGAGGGGGGGCUAGGCUCUCACGCCCAAAUUAUAUUACUUGAGAAAAUAUACAAUGGGGGCCCAGGGGGGACAUAGUACCUAAACCCUGACAAUCAAAAGUACAAUCAUAUACAACCACUCCUAACAAAGCUUCUUGAAAUUUCAACCUUUAAAAAAUUGUCUUUUGGCAUUUUCCUCUAAAUCACCACUAUUUUCAUGGUCAUGAGACUUGCAGUUGCCAACUCAGGAAACAAUAAAUCACUCACUUGCAGCCAAUGGAAUUGGGAGAAAGGAAAAGGGAGUGAAGGACGACAGGGCAGUGGGGGGAGUAAGGUGGAGAAUUAGGAAAAGGGUGGAUGUAUUUGGAAGUUAGAGUUAAUUGGGGAUCGAGUGGUUCCUGUUAUGUUUUAUUUUUUAUUUUUAUUUGUAAUGCCCAAAACCUGGGCCCUUUUUUCAUCUUUUGUCAAACUUGGGCUCUUCCCCUCCAGCCCCUAUUUGGGCUUUGGACAUUUUUUUAAGGUGCCCCUUUCAAUUUUGGGUCCUGGACAAUUGCUCUGGUGGCAUUGGGUUUGGGCCGGGCCUGAUACUACCACUACUAGUAGCUUACUAGUGUUCAUGCUCGUUUUCUAUUAGUAAGGCCUGGUUUGGGGUUUCCCAUACCAACUUUAUAUGUACUCAGUUUCAAGUAGCUUUUAAUAAAAGGAAAACUAAUGAAAAGUUCAAAAAAACUUCUCUUUUAACGUAAAGCCCUUUUUAAAGGUCUAGUGAAUAGUGUCAGUUAAAGGUAAAAAUGUAAUUUUUUGUUAAAAGUGAACAGUACCAGGAGUGUUUUGUUAAAACUCUUUUUAAUAAAUGCAUAUGUUGUUGAGAGUGUUAAUCUUAUGUAGAAAAUUGUUUCAGUUAGUUUUAUGGUAGCUGUUCAAACUCUAAUAUAGUAUUAAAUCCUCUUUCAAUCAUUACCAAACAGUUUUGGAUUAAUUGGACGCGAUAAUAAUACUUCCUAGAGACUAUAACCUUAAAGAUUUAUCGUUAAGGUAAACUAUUUAAUAUUUCGAUUAGUAAUGCUAUUCAUAUCAUAUUUUUAUACCACAUUUAUAUACUACCUUAGGUGAUAUCUGAUGUAGACAACCACAUCAUUUGAAAAAUUUGCAAAACUCAAGCAAAUGAAUAAGAAAGACUCUUCGUAUACCACAAUCAUCAUUUAAUUAGCUAGUUUUUCUUAAUUAUUAGUUUAUUAAAUAAUGAACCAAAUUUAAAAAUCUGAUUAAUUCAAAUGAUGUGGUUGUCCACAUCAAAUGCCACCUAAGAUGGUAUGAAAAUAUAGUACAAAAACAUAGUAUGAAUAACAUUACUCUAUUUUGUUCAAAUAUGAACUAAUACUGGUAAAUCUUCCUUGAGCAAGACUUGAGAUUGACCAAUGAAAAUUAAGCGUGCCAAUAAAGAACGGAUUUCCGCUCCGUUGUUGCCAAUAAGCAAGUUGAGAUUCUAUUUGGCGAUCCAUGUGGAAGACUUUUGUUAGUGAUAAUUUUUCAUGAUUCGACUAAUUAGAGAAUAAGAGAUUAUAUUCAUGUACUCUAAAUUACUUUUUCCUCCCUUUUUAAUUUUUUAGUACUUUUAUAUCAAGUGUUAGUGAUGUGCCAAAAAUAUAUUAAAAAAAUAAAAAGAUAUGAAGAAGUAAUUUAUGAUAUAUGAAUAUAAUCUCUCAAUUAAAUUUGAAACCGAACUAACCAAACACAUUUCAAUUCCGGUUUUUAUGGGGGUUGGGGGAUGAGCUAGAAUUGAGUUCCAUUGCUUUCGAUAUAUAGGCCCAUGAUCAUUGUGCUUUAAGCCCAGAAAAUACUGCCCAUGUUAUUCCAAUGCCACCAUGCCAAUCAACUGUGAAACUUUUUUUAUUUUUUAUUUUUUAUACAACAAUGUAUUUACAUUGAGAGGUGGAGGAAUAAACUGGAAUUAAACUCUCAUCUUCGAGUAUCUAACCUAAGUAAACUUGCAACUAAUAUUUAAUUUAAUUAAUUAAUCAUAUCCUCUAAUUUUUUUUCUAAAUAAAAAUGUUGUACAAUUUGUGGAAACUUCGAAAUAUGUUGUACUCAUAAAUUAAUUAGGAAUGUGAUUGAGUAAAUUCUUAUGGGAUUCUAGAGUAUCUUUUAGAUAGUGUCCUAGUUGUAAUGUAUUAUUUGAAAGGCUAGGAUUCUGCCUUCCUUACUACUAUAAGUAAAAGUACAAUGAAAUGAGCUAACACACACACACUACGGAAUUCAUCAAUUAUCUUUUCUCUCUCUUGUCACCGACCUAGCUUUCUCUAUAAUUCCUCAGUAAAGUAGGCCUGCAACAAAAUCAACAUAAUAAGUUAGGGUCUGUUUGGUAUCAUAUUUGAAAUUUUUUAUCAUUUCUCAAAACAUUUUUAAGAACAUUUCUUGAAAACAAUUUUCUUUAAGACUAAAAAACUUGAUUGGUUUGCGAUUUAAAAUUUUUAAAACUUACGACUUAAACUAGACAAAAUGAUCUAAAAAGAAGGGGUCGCAGGAGGGAGAAAGAGGAGAGAGGAGGAAAGAAAGUAAGAGAUGAUUGAAGGAAAGAGAAAUAAGAGAGAUGAUCGGAGGAGAUAAAGAGAAAGAGGAGUGAGAGAAAGAACCGAGAUAAUGAAGAGAGUGGAUUGAAGGAGAGACGAAAAAGGUAAAAAAAAAAGAAGGGAGAAAGAAGAAAAGAGAGAGAUAGAUUUGGAGUGAGAGGGGAUGAGGGAAAGAAAAGAAAUGAGUGAUUUUAAGUUUAAAAACUCUAAAACUCACUUUUUAUGUUUUUAGAUAAUAGACUAUAUUUUUGAGUUAGUCUUGAAUUCAGUUUUUGAAAAUAGUCCUACCUAAAAAGUUUUUAAGGCAUAAAACUUGAAAAAUAUUUUUGAGUCCAAUAGGUUGGAUUCAAAUAAAGUACCAAACAAGCCCUUAAUUUUUCAGAAUAGAAAACCUCAAAUAUCGGAAAUUGUUAAACAUAUUUGUUGACACGCCCCGAUCCAAGAAUCAAGGCGUGCUGGCCGUCACAUGAGCGUGACGUAACCAAAAGUGUGAUGCGGAAGCAAAAGAUAUGAGAAAUACGAAGGAAUAAAAACCAAUUACUAGUAGUAAUAUCCAACUAGCAUGCUAGAGUGAGUUUAAGUGUGCAGUACACAAUUUCAGAGCAUAAAUACUAGGUGCAGUCAAGUAGGACUAUAAUUAAAUUACAACACCCGCAUGUGAGUCCUACAUGCAGGAAGUCUGUCAGAACGCCGAAGAAAACCUCGUGAGCCACCAACUGCUAACUAGAACCUGGAGGGGCGCAAAACAAAAUUGAGUGGGUCAGUAAAACCAAAGUUUUCCAAAACAUUUCAUUUAAAACAUUUCUAACCCCUCACUGUAAAACCUGUAUACUUUCCCAGAAAAUAACAUAAUAGCAUAAUAUUUGUUCAAACCUCUCAAAACAUUAAUCUUUACCAAAAUCCAGCAAGUAUGCCAUGCAAUAAUGUCAAUGACAGAAUAUGGAUGCAUCAAUGUAACAGGUUAUAUAAUGAAUAAACCGUAGACCCUGCAGUUGGUCUUGUAUGGUUCAUUCUAUAGCUCAAUAUCCAACCCAACCGGAGUCACCACGGUGACCUGUACGGCACUACUCUGCACAUAAAUCGGAACUACCUAAAGUAGUCUGUACGACAAGAAUGGUGUAAGAAUACGCUCUAGUGCUUCUCUCAUCAAUCAUCUGCGCGCAUAAUCUAAGGUCACCUACUAGUCGGAACCACCUCUAGUGAUCUAUACGACUAGCAUGUCGGAACCCUUACAUGGUCUGUACGACAUGCACCUACUUAGAUCCAAGGCAAGCGUGCGGUGCGGUGAAUACUAUAAGCACUAACACCAGCGGUGUAGGUUAUGAGCUCUCAACACAAUUCACAUCAUCAAUGAUUCACAAGAAUAAUAUAAAACUCACAUGAUACUCACCUGUGCAUCCACAACACCAAUUCACAUAUAUAUGCAUCAAUUACUAAUUCAUAUAAUUCAUAAUAUGCAUGCAUGGCAAUUUAAAAACAUACUUUCAUUUAAAUUCAAUUUAUGGGAAAAAUAUCAAUAGUAUAUAGGUAUAAACAGAAAUACUGCCCACUCACUGGUAAGUCGAUGGGUCGUAACCCCCGUGACGUCCCUGGAUGCGCUCGUCCUCGGAAUAGGUGUCACCUAUAUGCGAAACAACUAUAAAAACAUUAAUUAAAGCACAUAAUCGACAAUUCGUAAUAACUUCUCAUACGGUGCUCAAAUUGGGUAUAUGAAUAUACCACAUCGACCUAUUCGAUGUCACGGACGUCGAGAAAUUUUUAGAAAAAUUUUCUGAGGCUGCAUGUGCCCCACACGCCUGGAUAGGCACGGGUCCACACGCCCCCCACGCGCGUCUCCUACCUCGGGCUCGCCGGACUGGUUUUUCCGGUGGCCGGAAAACUAGAGAUUUUUCAAUCUCCUUGUUCUCCGUCAUUUCUCAACCAUUUUCUUCGUAUUUUAUAUCAAAAUGAAGCCCUAAGCAUGUAGUUUUACGUUACACUACUUUAAGGCUCUAAAUACUACGAAAUCUCACCGGAGAAAUUCCAAGAAAACAGGCCAAUUUCGAACUCAAUGAUCCCGACGUCCAAAACCUUUAAACGAAGCACUCCGAGCUUCCUUAGGACCUCACUAAGCUCACUAUAAGCUUAGAAUUCCCUGAAAAUCAACAUAUCACGAAUGCAUGAACAGUGACAUAAAACUGGGGUUCGGGUUUCACGUGAUUUCGAAGGUUUCACGUCCUAAAACUAGUACCAAACGACUCAGGAGAUCGAAAGGAUGAAGAACCUUACCUUUUUGGCGUCGAUCCAUGAUGUUUAGAGGGAAUUUGGUCUCGUCCGUACGGUUUCGAGAGGGAGAGAGAGACUAAAACGGAGAGGAGAGAGAGAGCACGGGGGAGAGAGAGAGAAAGGGUUGAUUGUGUGUAUGUGUGUGGUCCAUCUCAAGCCAUCACCAUCCAUUUCUUUUUUUUUAACUCCCUAACCACAUACAUUACAAACCAAAUUUUUAGUCCAACUUAAUAAUUUUCCAAAAGCUUAUGAAAUAUGUGUAUUUAGUCCAAAUAAUAUAUCACACACACACAUACCUUAAUACCCUUCAAGGGUAAUUCUGUCAUUUCACGUCCCCGAUAUAAAGAAUCCCGGGACGGGCUGUGACAUUUGUGCUAUUUAUUUGAACAUUAAAAGUAAAUGUAUAAUAUUAAAUUAAAAAUGGUAAGAAUCAUAAAAAAUGGUUGGGAUCCUCCAAAUGAAGGUGUUUGAACCCGAUUUUACACACUCAGCCCAUAUACUCUAAGAUGUUGAAUGAAAGAAAUAUUAAGGAUCAUGAUUAGCUUCCAGACAAAGUUUGAUCAAUUGCACAAUCAAUCUAGGUUCAUAGUCUUAGUUGAGGACAGCGAGACUUGGCGUGGAUAAAGUUUUGAUAAAAAAUAAUUUCGAGUAUAUUCAAAGAAUAUGCGAAGGAAUUUGAAUAUUAUCAUAAUUUUACAACUCAACAAACUUGGCCAUUACGAAAUUCACCCAUAUAAAUAUGAGGUUUUGCAAUGUAGAGAUGACAUUCAACUCAACACAAACAAAUGCUCUAUGCGAAACCCUCUCACACCCUUGGAAAAAUAUUAACUAAUUCAAUAACCACUUUGUCAACACAUAUUCAGUUUGGAUAAACAUCAUUGGGUUGACCAACUAAUAACACAUUCAGUUUAGGUGAACAUCAUUGGAGUCGUAUAAUCAGUCGGUCUAGGGAGUACAUUCAGUUUGGAUUAAGAUCAAUACUUUUAGUUUGGUUGGUUACAUUACUUAUCCAAGUCUCAGAUGGUGAAGAGUUUUUCUUCUUUUGUCGAAAAAGUUCACUUCAUUAGUUUUCCCAGUGAUGUGAGGAUGGUCUGUUAUUCACAAGUACAUUUUAGAAUUCGGCAUUCAAACAGCCGAACCACUUUCACCAUAUAGACACUCAUUUCCUUUGGGAACUUUGUCCCCAUAACUUGAUACCGAUUCGGUGUAGCUAUAUUUUCAUAAAUAUAAUUGAAAUUAUCGAAUUUGGUGUAGAAGAUCCUGAACUAAGUAGUGAAUUACAUAGCCUUGUCUCCAGGUUUUAGAUCCUAGACCAAAAAUGGUGUUUCUUUCUCAGCCGAAUUCGCUUGAUACAGAAGUCAACAACACAUUUCACCAUCGCACUCUGUUUACCCAACUGAGCUCCAUUGCCAAUUAGCGCGCCCGCAUCAACAUAAGGAUGUAGUUAGCUCAGUAGUUACUCGUUCUGUUCACCACGUAGCUUUUGUAGUUUUUAUAGUCAACAUUUUGGCACGCGUAGUGUGACACAGUGCUAAAACUAUGACGUUUAUAUGAUAUAUUAAGAUGCCAAUUCGGCUCCCUUCGACUAAUUGAACGAGAUCCAACCUCAACUCAAGAAACACAUUAAAAAGACCAAGGUGAAAUGUUGAAAGCGAAUGCCUAUUUUACCUUACAAAGACAAUAAGUAAAAGAAGAAAUGGCCAGAUGAGGAACACUCCUUACGUUAUUGAAUAUAAGUUUAUACCAUUUAGAGAAUGGUUAAACCAAAAGGUCGGGCCAAGGAGGGGGGACAUGGGGGCGAUUCUUACUUUGGCCUAAUCAAGCCUCGUCUUAAGAAAUGUAUCAGAUUGGUCGAAGAAGAACACCUAUUCGUUCAACUGAGUUAGAAAAGUUGGUCGGCCUAGAAAAAAAAAAUUCACGUUUCCUGAUCAAAAUAUUGACUCCGAAGAUAAUUAGUUAAAGGAUUGUUCCAAUGGAAAAAAAAGGUCGAAAACAACAUCAGAUGAAGAAACCAUGUCAAUCGAUAUGGUUAUUAGAGAUACAACCAAUAUGGAGAAAUACCAUUUAGUUGAGUUGUUCGAGUUAAAACCUAACAUUGGCGAAGUGACUAUGCUCGGGGGCCAAAAUAACUUGGAGUACUUUGCUUCCGAGAAUAAAAAAUAUUUGGCCAAGUGAAGAAUAUUUGGAGUUGAUCCUUUACUCGGCUUGGAGGAAAAUCAUAAUGAAAAUGUUGAAAUAAAGCAUCGUUGGCCUCCUCCUCAUUAUGGUUCGACGACUCUUGUUUUUGUUUGCUAGGAAAAUAGUAACUUUAUAUUCGACUUUAGGUUGAUACUUAAGAAAAUAAGAGGUAACAAGCGGUUGUUUGCAAAAAAAGAAAAGAAAAAAAAAAGUUCAAUUUAGUGGCCACCCACUUUAGUCGGUAAGCUUUAAUAUGGACUAGCUGGUUAAUUCGGCGUUAUUGUUUCGCCAAGCUUUAAUAAAUGUUUUGUGUUGGACCCAAUUCUGCACAGUGUGGAUGAACGAACUUACGAGAACAAAGACCAAGAAAGGUUGCGAAACCAAGCGACAUGGAGGGUUGUUUGCAGCGUAGGCACUUCAACGAUCAAGUCAAAAAGUAAGGGAAAAAAGUGAGAUGGAUGUUAAGUGUGUAGAGAGAGCUCAAGAUGUUUAUCCCUUUGUGAGGAGUUGGGAUACCUAUUUAUAGGCGUUAAGGAGUCAUCCUAUGUGCUCUGCCAAUUCUUUGAGUCGUCAGAGUGGUUGGAAUCAAAGGUAAGGCUCUAUCCACUUAGAUGUCCCUGUUGUAUGGUUCAGAGCAGUCUGACUCUAUGCAACAUGGGUCAGCACAUCAUGUCUGCCCGAUAUACAAUCACAUCGCCUAUUCCAAUCACUCUGUGGCUCUGCCCAUACUUCAGUAGCAGGGUUCUUGCAGUUUGGAUGAUACAUGAUCAACUGGCAUUUGAGUAGAGGUAGCUGAGAAUGAUAUGGUGCCUACGAUGCCUACUCCAGUCAAAGUGCCUAUGGGGAGAUGGAUUCUAUAAUUUCGUUAGGGUUCCAAUUGUGGAAUGGUUAUAUAGAGUUCUGCUGGGAACCACCAAGUCUUAGUAUCUUGUGAUAAAGGGUAUAAAGAUGCCUUACUCACUCCUAGUUAGCUUGACAAAGUGGAUUCAUGUGUUCACUAUUCCGGAGAGGUUAAAAAUAUUGUGAAGUCUAGUUUUAUUGUUUGGCUUCCCUUGUCAAAUGUUGUAAAUUGUACCACACUUGCUCUAGUUAGAUUUAGGGUUUAAAUGCUACUUUGGGAUCAUGCUACUAGAAAUAUCAUUUCAAGAGCUUAACUUCUCUCAUCAAAGGUUUGUACAUACAUAUGCAUUUCACGACAUUAUUUCUAGUUAUGUCUAGUGGCUCUGUCUUGUCAAAACUUCUCGUUGCUUUCACAUGAGCUGAGCACACACUUUAAGAUAACCCACAUGGGCUUUAUGUUAGCUUUUUUUUCCGAGAGUGUUUUUCAACCCUAGAUCUUUCCAGAUUGAUUUUGCACAUGACACAUGGCUUUUCUGGUCCCCUUUUUGUCUAAACAUCAAGCCCUCUUUAAAAGCUAAAUCUAGGGUUCAUUUGCUCUGUGGGGUUUGAGAUUGGAAAAUUUUUGAAAACUUUAUUUUUCAUCUCCAUCUUAGAUCUCCUAGGAGCAUCAAGCAUAUUUUAUGGGUAAUGUUCUUCAUCGAAUGUUUCUAAAUCUAUCUUUGAAAUUGUUUGCUUAAAUUCGUUUGAUAUUGUUAUUUGUUUGGUUAGGAGUUUUACAUUUUCGGAAAAGAGUUGAUUUUAGUUUUGAGCUACCUUUUAUGUUCUUCAUUAAAACCCUAGCCACAAAACCAUGUUCAUGCAUCAAACACCCAAUCAUUGCACAUUAGGGUAGCAUUGUCUUCAUGGUUUUGUUUUAAUUUUGUGGUCAAGUUUUUCAAGUUUCAAAUCUUUAAACUGACAUUUUUUUCGAUUCGUGUCAGUUUCAUCUUUCAAGUAUUUGACUGGUGAAAAUGACUAGACAUCGAAUUCAGAUUUGCAUCAACUUGAUCACAACAUCGUUUUUAUAGGUUGAUUUGAUUUCGAUGCCACAAGGUGAAGAGCUUAGGAGGAGCUGCCACUUCGUGAAGACCGAAGGAAUUUGUCUCGUAUAAGACAAGGUUGCAUAAAGGUGAAGCUGCUCCGUAGACUAGGUCUACGAAUUAGAUGUGAAAAAUAAGUUAACACACAAAAUUAAACCCUCUUUUUAUCAAUUGUAGCAAAGUAUGUAAGUAGGGAUCGUUCUAGGCCGGGGAUUAGGAGGGAUUGCUAAAUCACUUGGAAACUGACUUGAAAACGUAAAAACAAAGUUUAAAACACUAACUAGACUCAAAGAAUGUAAAACUAUUCUUUAAAACACUAAAACAAACCAAAAGACUCAAAACAGCCCCUAAACACUCAAAACUACCUUAAACACACAAUCUGGGCAGUUUUGGGACUCUAACACAAACUUGGACGAAUUUUGGUUUUCUAAUGAACUAAAACACUUAAAAACAUAAUCUAAGACAAGUUCUAAUUAAUAUGACUCAAAGAAAUAAGAUGGGGUUGAUUUUGGACGAAAAUAAUUAAAUUAAGACAAGAACAAAGUAAACAAAUUCUUAGACAAAUUUGGGUGAAUCAAAACACUCUAACACACAACCAAAACAGAAAUUAAACACUUUGAAACAAUAAAGUAAAAGGGGGAUUUUGGUUUUAAUGAAUUUGAAAACAAAACAAACUUUGUAAAACAAAACAGAUUGUAAGUGAAUUUGAAUGAAAUUUAUGGAUGGAAGAUUAGCUAGGAGGUUCUUCUCCACAUAUGUCACACUUGCAUACAAAACGAUUUCCAGUUGCUUUUCGAUAAGCUAUGAAUACUCAACGCCCCAAAUUACCGUGAAUUGCACUAAUUAACCCUCAGUUUUUCCAAAAGUUAUUAGGUUGGAUGAUUGCAUACGACAACCCAAAACAUUCCCUACAAGUUCCCUACAUGAAUUGCAUAAUAGAGAUACAAGCAAGAAUCAUUAAGUUCUAUGAAAAACAUAAGCAUUGACGAGGCACUCAUUACUAUGAUUUGCAUGAAACUUAUGCCAAGAGUUUACUUAACGUGAUUGUGACUAGCAACCUUCACUACUUGUGAAUAUAAGUUUAUAACGAUUAGGUGAAACUCCCUUAUAUUCUAGCGUCAAAUUCAUGCAUGAAAAUUAAGCAUGCACUCUUAACCAACAUACACAAAUUAGUUUUUAUAUGAACGGAUAAGUAAAUUGAAUUCACAACUUAUGAAUCACAACUGGAUGUAAUCAAAUCAUAUUGCAAGUAUGAACAUAGUUUCGAAUCACCCCCUAACUAAGAGGGGUUUAGUUCCUCAUACUCACAAAGCAAAGAUACAUAAAAUUAGACAUUAAAAUCAAAGGAAAAGAAAACACCUAAAAUGCUCCAACUUGGUAGCAAGUGCAUCCAAGAUUCCUCCUUUCCCUUGCUUGCGGCAGAUUGGGUUAUGGACAGAUUUUGGGUAGUUUUAUGAUGUAGAAUGGAUGGGGAAUGGUAUGGAAGGGUUUAGGGUGAGUGUGGAGGAGUGUUUGAUGGUUGGAGGGUGGUGGAGAACUAGGCAAAGAGGGUGGAAGAAGGUGGAGUUGCUGUUAUGUUUUCUAGGCACUAGAAUGAUGUUUUUGGGGUGUUUUGCUUCCUAGGGUGUGUAUGGACGAAUUUUUGUGAUAAAAUGAUGAAUAUGGGGGAUUGUCCUUUGGCCAAGGGGUGUAAACAUGUAUUUAUAGGCCCCAAAAACCUUAGAAAAUCAGGUUAGGUUAAGGAUGAAAUGCAUGGCAAUUUGUGUGUGUGGUGUGCAAUGGUCCAAGGGUGAAAAUGAAGUAAUGAUGCAAAGUGUGAAGGGUAAAAUGGAGUGGUGUUGUAGCUAGGGAGCAUGAAUGAUUGUGUACAUUGCAUAGAGAUGGAAAGGGAGGUGAAAAUGUGUCAACAAAUGGGUCAAAGGUGCAACAACAUGUGUUGCACAUGGCAUUGGAUUCCAAAUGUGAAUGAUGGAGCAUCAAUUGGUGCAUGUAAUGGAUGUAAAUGUUGUCUAAAAUCUAAUGAGUGAAGGGAACAAGAGGUAUCAAGCAAUUGAGUGUAAUAAUUAAAUGAAUUGAAGCAUGAAAUUAGAAAUUAUGUAGGGGACAAGAGUGAUCAAGCAUGGCAUGGAAUCCAAAGGGAAUUCUAUGUGGUUUGCAUGGCAAGGAAUGCAAGUUGGGGUGACAGAUUUUUGGGCUGUUUUCUUCAUCUUUUGGACCAUAAUUCUUCAUAUUCUUGGCCUCUUUAGUUCUCAAAUUCGUCCAUCCACUUGGCCCAUGCAUUUACUAUCCAUUCCAAGCCCGAAACAUGCUCCAAAGGCCUCCAAAAUGCAUCUUCUUGCAUACUUUGUACUUAGAGUCUGAAAACACACAAAAAUAACUUUGAACACUAAAAUAACUAAGGAAAUACAACGUAAAUGCACAAGAACAAGCUAACUAAGUCGCAUAAAUAUGCUCCUAUCAGAAUUGAGCUUUGCGUGGUACUUUGUAAGAAUCUUGUUUACACUAGUGGAUUGGACUCAGUGGUGAGUUCCCGAUUUUUUAACCCAAAAGUGGGUUUUUUUCUAGCUAGAAACUUCUUGCGUUCUUUGUCUCUUAAACUCGUCUAAAUAUCUUAUUUACUUGCAUAUGUUUCAUGCACCCUAUGAAUUGUUAUUUGAUAUGUAUUAGAGACUAAGUUUACACUGCAUAUUAUGAGCAAUGAACUAAAUUGUUGUUCAUUCGAACAACUUGUAGUGAACCAAGUUUGAUUCGUAGAUUUGCGUUUGCUUAACUGACGAACAUGUACUUAGUUUACUGGUGAGUUUGACUAGUCAAUCAGGCAUACUUUAAUUCAUAAUUGCUUUGUCAUUAUUGUUUGCAUAAUGAAGUGAUGUGUAAAUGUGUUCAAGUUUAGAAAUUAUUAUUGUGAAAGUAAUCUAGGCAGACUCUGAUUAGUUGAACAUAUAAUGGUCAAUUAGGAUUCAUGCAACUGCCCUUAUAUCAUUGACUAACUUGUAACUAGUUGACUAACUCAUUUGACUAGUCUAUUGUGCAAAGUUAAAAUUUCAUUUGCAGGAUAUUCCACCUAGUACCCAAUUUCAAAUAUUGUCUCACAAUUGCCUCUAAAUAUGCCCUCAAAGUGCCUUGUGGGUAUAGUUAAAUAAGACCAUGUCACCUCACCUGAGUGAGAUUCAAGCCAUUGCGCACUACUUGGUCAUCUAAGGGAUGUAAGAGCACUUCCGGUGUGGGAAGGCCUCCUUGGACAAUAGGCAACUCAAUCCCUUUAUAUGAACAGUAACUGCCUGAAAUGAACAUCAAAUACCCAAGUGCAUCUCCAUCCCUGAACUGAAUAGCCCAUGCAAUUUGAAUUAAAAUAAUAAAAGAUAACUUUAUUUUUAAUUUUAGAUAAUAAUAAAAAAUUGGUUGAAAGAAGAUAACUUUAUUUUUAAUUUUAGAUAGUAAUAAAAAUUGGUUGAAAGUAUUUGAAAAAUAUUGAAAUGUAGUGUAAAGUGAAAGAAUAUGGUUAAGUAUUUAUAGAAAAAAAAACUUUAAAAUAUUUUUGAUUAGUUUUUUUAUUUUUUAUAAUUCAAUAAUCUUUUAAUAAUUUAAAUUGGCUAACUUCAUGGUGACUUCAACCUUACAUCACAUAGGCAGAGCGCUGGGAUAGGCGAUUAUUGCCUGACUUCUCCAACAGGCUCGCUUGGGGUCCAAUUGCCCAAGCGGGCUGGAGCGUUUUGGGAGGGAGGAGAGUAGAUUGGGUUGCCUAUCCCUAAGGCAAUAAGCAACGGUAGAGUUGCUCUAAUCCUAUCCUAGAUGACCUAGUAAUAAUUGAAGAGAUUUUAUUCUAAACCAAGUAUUUUGAGCAGAGUGGAAGUCAUCACUCCGAGUGGAGGCUUGAGCGUUGGCAAAUACUUGGCAUUUUCAGAAAAAUAUUAGAGGAGACUGUUGAGUGACUCAGACAAGAGGAAUCAUGAGUUAAUGCCUAACGCCACCACAAAGGUGCGUGCAAAGCUUGAGGAUAGGUUUUUCCAACAUGCGUGUGAGGAAAGCUUCAUUUCCGUCAUCAAUCAUCGUUAGCUUGGGCAACAUGCCCGCUGUGAAUGGCACAGUCGAUCGUGGCUUGCGAAACGCCAUGUAUUUCAUUGCUUAUGUUCACCAAGUGCCACAUGUUCUGUGAACGGUUGGUUUUGAGUUUUGUAUUUAAACCUUUUCCAUUUUAUUUCUCCAACUUUAUGUUUUCGAGUUUGGACAAAACCCUUACCUUUCUUACUCUUAAAUUUGCUCAGAAAUUCCUUGAAAUCCUCCUCUUCGAAUGUCCCAGUUCUUUCUUAUCCUUCAAUUUCCUUCCAACAUCAUGGCCUCGCCAAACUCCAAAGCCUUGACGUUGGCGAAACCUUCGCCAAAACGCAUGGCCAAUUCAAAAUUUUGCCCCCAAUACCGCAGCUGAUGACGGAUGAUGCAACGAUCUAAAGGUUCUCAGAGGCACACCAAUAGGUACUAGGAGGUUGCCGUCUCAUUUUGGAACCUUGGUGUAUUAGCGUUUACAAAGAUUUGCUAGAAUCACAAUUUUCCGACUGUCCAAGCGCUACAAAUCCACCCUGAUGAAGGAUCAUCUGAGGAGUCACACAUAGAAUUAAAGUCAAAAGGGGCAUCAUCUAAUGAGUAUUCUAUUGCCAAGGAACGUCCUAGGAGGGUGGUUACAAAACCCAUCAAAUUCCAAGAUUAAGAAGGCUAAUAAUGUUAAACUGCUAUGUCUAUUGGGUUCCUCUAUUUAUUUCAUGGACUAGUUUAUGUUCUUUUUAUUGUAUAAAUAACUUGUACAUGGGAUGUGGGAGGAAAGUUUGAUUUGAAUGAAACUACUACUAUUGAGUUAGCUGUCAAGCUUCUCUUUAUUCCAUGCUUGCAUUUUGCUCUACCUUUCCAAUUCUCUAUAGCCCUAAGAGGACCGUAUCACACCCAUGGUAUUUGACUCUUGGGCUUAAGUUCCUGAUGUCGGGAUUAGUGAAUGAGGCAUUGAUCCAUUAUAGCUUGCCCUGACCAACCUUAUGGCCACGGCAUAUAGGUAUACAUCGCAAGUAAUCACGUUCCUAAGAGGGUACAAUAUGUACUUCUUAGAUAUCAUCUGGGGAAGGUUUAAUUCGGAUUUUACUAUCGUAAAAUGGCCAUCUUCUCGACUGGCAUAAAUACACCGUUCUCCAGGGUUUGUCUCUAGUAAUGCAAUCACCGCAUACUUAUUCUCUUGCCUACUGCUUAAGUCUUAAUAUUUUUUUUACUAACUUGACCAUUAGAGAGCCUUUGGACCAGCACAUGCCCCCCUCGCUGCGGUCCUGGGCUUAUUUACUGUUGUUUAUUCUUUUACAAGUUAACGAGUUUUGGCAUCUCCACCACGAGUGACAGUGCGCAAAUUUGGUUCAACAACCACUAAACAUCAAUAUAUUCCACAUAAGAGAGACGGCUAUGGCAAGAAGAGCAGGAGGGAAUGGUUUCUGUUGCCAUUGUUAUUAUUAAUUUUUAAUCCAUAUUGGGUAUCCUUUGUUAUUCGUAAUGCGCAUGAUUUUUGUUUAGAUGUUUGAUCACCAUCUAGGUUUUAAUUAAGAUGAUUUGAUGCAAGUUAGAGUAUACCAUGAAUUCCUUUUUGUAGAUGACAUGCAAUUAGGGUUUAUGUGAUUUGAUGAUUUGCACAAUGCUUGAUGAGUUUUUACUUGUUUAAAUUCGUAUUGAUGCCAUAAAGAGUUAACAUGUAAGGAUACUUUUGAUGCAAUCAGAUGCCAUGACUAUUGAAUAAUUUAGGGAAUAUCAUCAUCAAUAUGGAGAAUUACUUGUUCAUAACAUAUUAAAGGAAUUUAGUAGAAUUGGUUACGGUGAAUCCGGAGCCCUAGGUCUUGUUUUCUAUGUUUCAGUUAAUUUUAUGUGUUUAUUUUUCAAGCUAUAAUAUCAUCUAAUUCGUACUUGUGAGUACUAAAAUUUAAGACUUAAAUAAGGUUAGAUUUGAUUAUCUAGUUUCUGUAACAACUUCUCACCACUUGUCUUGGCGUUAGUCACCCAUAAAACCCCCACACAAGCCACCUCCUUUGCAAGCCAUUAGGUGCAUGGCAAACACCUCAGGGGAACAAGGUUAUCAGCUGAAAAUAUAACCGAUCUGAUUAGUUUGGUGGCCUCUUUUUGCCCACCAUACCCACUAUCGUUAAAUUGAUGAAGAAUAUAUCUGAGAUUGUCAACGCGUUAAGCAUAUAUUAUAAAAUAAACCAACUACAUGAGUUGGAUUGUAAGAAUCGAAUAUAUUCCCGAUUAAAUGCAUUACUAAAGAAUGAUUACUCAUAUUCUCAAUUUGAAAGGGAAUUCCAUUUGAAAGUACAUGGUGGGAUAAGACAAUCUAGUGCUUAGAGCCCAUCCUGACAUCAUUAUCUUCUAGAUUUAAGCUUGACAUAAAUUUUUACUUUGGUAUUUGACAAUGAAAAUCGACAGAACGUGGUCUCUGAGUUUAUCCACCGGAAAUCAUUUUGAUCAUUCGGUGAAAAAUUUGUCAAUAUCCUCGUUAAGUAGAGAAGUUGAUUUGACAAAAAUACUCUUAAACACGUGGCAAUUCACGUGACAAUUAAAAAAUAUAUUGAUAGAUUUUUCACGGAUUGACUAAAAGGAUUUUUUGUGUACAAACUUAAGGGCCACUUUUAUUGAUUUUCAUUUUUAUAGACGAAAAUAAAGAAUUAUGCUAAUUUCAGGAACUAUUUUGAUUAAAAAGCCAAGAAGUAAAAAGUAAUGUGCAAGGGCAAUGCCAAAAUGGUUACCCAUGAUCUUUCUUGUAUACAAAUUUAAGGUCAAACGUAAAAAUUGAAUCUCUUGAUUGGAUUGUCAAGGCAUUUCCAUCUUUGUUAAAAAAUUCUUUGAUGGAAAAAUGUAAAUUAUCCAUCUUCGCUCAUUUCGUCGGAAGAUGUAAAUAAAAAUUUAAAUUUACAUUCUUUUUGCAUCUUUUGGUGUGGGUCCCACUAAUCAUAAAGAGAAAAUUAAAUGAGAUCUGAAAUUUACAUCUGUCUUAGACCAUUUCUUAGCCUGAUAUUAUUAAAAAACGAACUUAGGAUAAUUUUGUUCUUAAAGUAAUUUUUUUUUAAUUUUAUGAACAUUUUAACCUAAAAAUAUUUAGAUUUCGAUAAAUAUUAAAAAAUCACUAAACCGACACCAUGAAACUCGUGGAACACGAUGAAAGAAUAUGAAACACAUGAAAGAAUUUUUUUAUUAAUUUUAGCUGUUGGAUUUAAAUUUGGAUCGUUAGAUUCUUUUUUUACUGUUAGAUUUGAUCGUAUUAGAUUUUAGUCGUUGGAUUCAAUGAAUUUGUAAAUAUAAAACUAAAAAGAAAUAUACAUAUAUGGUAUAAAUUUGGGGGAAUCUUGGGAUAAAUUUGCCCCAAAAAAGAGUUUUAGAUUAAAACUCAUAUUUGCCAGAAGAGUUGGAGAACGUUGGGAUAAGUUUAGAACCUAAAAUUUGAGUUUUACUCUAAGGAUUGGAAUAUGUCUUUUGGAGUAGAAUUUUUAUUUUGCAUCUGUCUGAAAUGUCAAAUACGAUGUAAAUAUGUUUUUCAUCUCAAAUUGGCAUUUUAUUUCAUUGUAAAGUCCUCCUCAUUUGAAGUACUAUAGUUCCCACUGUGAUUUACUUCUAUUAUCAGUUUUUAGACAAGUUUGCAUUUUCUAGAGCAUCUCAAAUUAUCUUCUCUACUUUUUCAUUAAAUUUUAGCUAUCAAAGGCUUAAAAGCUAUUAUAAGAGAGAUUAAUGAAUAUGAACCAUUAUUCACUAAUUUGGAAAGCCAUAAAAAAGGCUAAAAACCUAUUAAAAGAGCCUAAAAUUUUCUAUUACAACUAUAUUCUAUGAAUUUUUUUUUUUUUUUUUUGACAAAAACUUGAUAUUUUCUUGAAAUCAAAUGUACUACAUCAACUCCUGGCUGAAGGAUGUCUUGAAUGAGAUCAGCUGGUCUUCUAACCAUACAUUUUUUUUUAUUGCCAAUAGAAAUGGCAAACUUAGCUAAUCUAUGGGCAACCCCAUUACAUGUUCUUGGCACGUGCACAAAAUUGACCAGGGAAAGAAACUCCGCCACUUGCCUGACAUCCUUUGCUAGCAAACCAAACUAGGACAAAUCCUGAGAGUAGUUAUUGAUAACAAUAAUAGCUAGAGCGGAAUCACUCUUCACAAUAACCUGUCUAACCCGUAACAUCCCUGCUAGCCGAAGGCCCUCCAAAACUGCCAAAAACUCCACAUGAAGAGCAUACCCAAUACCCUCAUUCCUUCAUGCUCCCGCUAUUAAAAACUUUCACGUCAAUCCCUUAACACAGCUCCCACUUCCCUAGAAAAAUGCUCCAGCCUUGUGGCCCCAUCAACAUCUAUUUUGACCCACCCAUCAGAGGGGGUCAUCCAUUUGAGUUGAGGAACUGGCUUUGGCACAUUCUGCAUUUCAUGGGCUGCCAAAAAUAACUGAUACCAACUCACCACCUUCUGCAUUACCUCCAUAGGUUGUCCACGAUGCUCAUCCCAUACCAAAGAGUUACGUGUCUACCAUAGCCCCAAAACCAUGCAAACAACAUCAAAUUUAGCUCUUUGAUUCUCAACUACUGAAAGUAGCCACUCACGCAUCAACACUCCCGGUACCGAUAAGGUACUAACCCCCAGCGAAGACCCCAAUCACAUAGCCUUCGCAAAAACACAUCAUGGAACACAUGCUCAUCUCAAGGUGCACCCCUUUCCUUGCAAGAUUAAAUUUAGUCGGAAUAAUGUCCUUAUUUCGCGUAAAAAUUUUCACCUUAGGGGGAAUCUUAGCCCUCUAUAUUGACUUCCAAAGAGGUGAAAAAGCAUUGCUCCCCUCCGACGUAGACGCACCAGUCUAGUUAGAUUGCACCAACUCCCUAUCCACUGCUAACCGUAUACUCAUGCUGAGAAUUAUAAUGCCAAACUAACUGAUCCGGCAGUAUGCGAAAACUGAUCGGCAUAGUACUAAUCAAACCCACCACCUCCUCUGAAAACAAAGCGUGUAACUCAACUAAUUUCCACGAGCAAGACUCCGUAUCAAUUAGCUCCUAGACACGCAUAUUCUCCUGAUCAACAGCAACAAUAGAAAUGACUUUGAAAGAGUGAGGUCUUGGUAGCCAUCUAUCCUUCCACACCUUAAUAGACGCAUCAUUCCCAACAACCCAUUUGGAACCAUGGACCAACACUAUGCCUUUAAUAUACUAGACCAACAAUACGAACAACUCUUUGAAACAGUUGCCUCCCAAAAGGAUAUGGUGGGAAAAUAACGGGCCUUGAAUAAUUGUGCCACCAAAGAAUCUGGUUGCUGGAAAACACGCCACCCCUGCUUAGCUAAAAGUGGCCCAAAAUAGCUAAGUUAAAUGCAAAUAAGUCCCGAAAGCCCAUACCCCCUCCUGCUUCAGUUUGCAAAGCUUUUCCCAAGACCACUAAUGUAUAUUCCUUGCAUUCGGAUCACUGCCCCACUAGAACCAAGCCAUCAGUUUAUGAAGAUCAUCACAAAAAGUCAGGGAAGCAAGAAACAAUUCAUAGCAUAAGCCGGAAGUGCCUAAGCAACCACUUUAAUAAGAAGCUCACGCCUCACACUACUCAAACAUUUUCCUUUCCACCCACAUAGCCUAUUCAGAACCGUUCCUUGAUGUAUGAGAAUGUUUGUUUCUUAUUUUUCCAAGUAGGAAGCCCCACGUAGCAUUCAUGUUGCUCCACCACUUGGACACCAAGAAACCCGGCCAUAGAAAUCUACUCCCUCGAACCAACAUUUGCACUGAAAAGCAACACUAUUCUUUGAAAAAUUUACUACUUGUCCCGACGCUUAAGAGUAUACAUCAAAUAUAUGUUGAAUAAUUGCACACUCAUCAAGACCAGCUUUCCCCGAAUAGAAAACUAUCAUCAACAAAGAGUAAGUGAUGAAUAUUCGAUGCACCCUCAUAAAUACAAAUACUGUUAAGAGCACCACAUUGCUUCUUUUUGGCAAUAAGUGCCAAAAGACCCUCCGCACAUAAUAGGAAAAGAUAUUGUGAAAUUAGGACCCCUUGUCGGGGUCCACGGGAUGACACAACAUAGCCCUUAAGCUCCCUAUUAAUUAAGAAAGAAUAGGAAAUGGAUGGCAUACAAGCCAUAAUCACUCUGAUCCAUUCCCUAGCAAACCCCAACCUAACCAUCAUAGCUUUUAGGAAUUUCCAUUUAACACGGUCGUAUGCUUUGCUAAAGUCCAAUUUCAAAGCCAAAUACCCUUCUGGACAACAUCGUUUGUUAUGGAGAAAAUGCCCAAUCUCCUCAGCCACUAACGAAUUAUCAGAGAUAAAUUUGCCAAGGACAAAUGCACUAUGAUGUGGAGAGAUAAUAGUACACAAAAUCCCUUUGAGACGAUUAGCUAACACUUUAGCCCAAAUCUUAUACACUACAUUGCGUACACUAAUCGGCCUUAGUUGAGUCAUAUCUUAAGGUUCAUUAACUUUUGGAAUAAGUACAAUAUGCGUAAAGCAAGCUUCAUGCAACAAACAACCCGACGUCAAGAAAGACCGAAUAGUCUCCACCACAUUCGCCCCCACAAUAUACCAAAAUUUUUGAUAGAAAAGCGAAGACAUUCCGUCUGGUCCCGGAGACUUGAAAGGAUGCAUUUUAAACAGAGCCAACUUAAUCUCCUCUUCCGUAUAAGGUUUCACUAACUCUGCAUUCAUCUUUGGAGUGACUUUUGGAACCACCGCAUCUGUCACUUCACUCAUGGCAUUUGGAAAAACCCCUUGGGACCAAAAAAUCUUCCUAAAAUAAUCCACCAUUGUAUGCUCGAUACCAUCAGGAGACACUUUCCAAAUCCCAGCCUCAUCCCUUAAUGGUAUUUUUCCUACUCUGAUUCUAAGCACGUUGGUGAAAGAAUUUUGUAUUCCGAUCCAUUUCCUUCAGCCAAUGUGUUCGAGACCGUUGUUGCCAAAACGUCUCUUCUCUAUUCAGCAGUGAAUCCGAAGUACCCAUUAACUCCCUCUACACGCCUUCAACUCCAUCGAUGGUGGGUGCUUAAGCAAGACACCCAAGUUCUCUUGGACCUUCACAAUUUCCAAUCUGUCCAACCAAGCACAUUGCGCUGCCACUCCAACAAUGCCACACGUAUGGCACGAAUCUUCUCACAAACCUGGAAUAACAAGACUCCCGUAAUCGGAACGCCCAAGCACUCUAAAUGACAUUCUCACAACAUUCCCCUUGUAACCACAUUUCCUUAAACCAAAACCUCCUUCCCUUCCUAGCUCGCUCCACCGAAGAACUCCGAAUCUCCAUCAACACCAGUAAAUGAUUAAACUUGGACGAGCUCAAGUGACACACCCUAGACAACAGAAACUGACCCAACCAUGAAUUAGUGGCCAACGCAUGGUCCAAUCUGCACCUUACCUCAUCAUCCCUAUUAUCCGUCGAAGUAAAAUCACAUCCAACAUAAUCCAUGUCAAGCAAUUGACAGUUUUAGAUCGUAGCCUGAAACCCAUCCAUUUGACUCUCCCGUCUCACAUUACCACCAAGUUGCUCCUGCACUCUUAGAAUUUCAUUAAAAUCCUCAAGACAAAGCCAGGGUAAAGACCUUUUCUGCCUAAGAGAAGACAACAAAGACCAUGAUCAAUGCAGAUUCGUCGUCACUGGAUGACCAUAAAACCUGGUCAAUUGCCACCAAUGGUCCAUCCCGCCCUCCCUGCACACUGUGUCUAUAGGAUUCAACGACAACGAAACAUAACGAGAAAAUUAAAUGAGAUAUGAAAUUUACAUUCUUUUUGCAUCUUUUGGUGUGGGUCCCACUAAUCAUAAAGAGAAAAUUGAAUGAGAUUAGAAAUUUACAUCUGUCUUAUACCAUUUCCAACCCUUGGAUUAAAACCUGAAGAGAAAAUUAAAUGAGAUAUGAAAUUUACAUUCUUUUUGCAUCUUUUGGUAUGGGUCCCACUAAUCAUAAAGAGAAAAUUGAAUAAGAUCAGAAAUUUACAUCUGUCUUAUACCAUUUCCAACCUUUGGAUUAAACCCUGAAAUUUUUAAUCCAGAAAAUUUAGGUUCUAACCUAGAAACAAUUUUUUUCUCCAACCCUUAUGGGUUAAAUUUUUAACCUAAUAUUAUUAAAGAACGAAUUUAGGAUAAUUUUGUUCUUAAAGUAACUUUUCUUUUAAUUUUAUGAACAUUUUAACCUAAAAAUAUUUAGAUUUCGAUAAAUAUUAAAAAAUUACUACCUUUAGAUUUGAUCAUAUUAGAUCUUAGUCGUUGAAUUUAAUGAAUUUGUAAAAUAUAAAACUAAAAAGAAAUACAAAUAUAUGGUAGGCUAGCCCACUAACUCAGGGAGAAUCUUGGGAUAAAUUUGCCCCAAAAAUGAGUUUUGGAUUAAAACUCAUAUUUGGCCCAAGAGUUGGAGCAAGUUGGGAUAGGUUUAGAACCAAAAAUUUGAGUUUUACUCUUAAGGGUUGAAAUAGGUCUUUUGGAGUAGAAUUUUUAUUUUGCAUUUGUCUGAAAUGUCAAAUAUGAUGUAAAUAUGUUUUUCAUCUCAAAUUGGCAUUUUUCUCAUUGUAAAGUCCUCCUCAUUUGAAGUACUAUAGUUCCCAUUUUAUUAGUUCCCACUAUGAUUAACUUCUAUUAUCAGUUUUUAGACAAGUUUGCAUUUUCUAGAGCAUCUCAAAUUAUGUUCUCUACUUUAAAGCUAUUAUAAGAGAGAUUAAUGAAUAUGAACCAUUAUUGUCAUAGCCCGUCCCGAAAUAUUACAUUUUUAGACCUGAAAUGUCAAAUAUGCCCUUGAGCGUUUAUGGUGUUAUGUGAUUUAAAUUUUGGAUUUGGUCAAAUUCGUUAAGUCCCAAAUAUUUUGGAACCAAUUAGAACUAAAGGACUUAAGGUUCUAAUUGUUUUGUUUGGUUGGUUGUAGGAGGAUUAGGACCACACAUUUACACUUUCCCUCUCUCUCUCUCUCCCUCUCUCCCGUUGACCCUCUCUUUCUCUCUCUUCCCUCUCGGUUCUUCUCCAUUUUCGUACUGUACGUACGUACGAACGAAACUCAACCAACCUAUCUCUUCACGGAUCAUGGUUGUGAAGACCAUUUUCAAGUUCCUUACGAGCCCAUGAACCCAGUGAUACUAUUAUUUGGACGUGAAACCUUGAAAAACCCGAGAAACCAUAACCUCCAAUUUGAGGUACUGUUCAUGCACACGUAAAUGUGUAGUUUUCUGAGAGUUUUGAAGUUAUAGGGAGCUUUAGAUCGUCUUCACGAGGCUUGGAGAAGAAAAAUGAAGUGAUUUGGACGUCGGGAAGCUCAGGAAUAGGGAGUUGCAGGUUUAGUCGGAACAUCGAAGGAUUUUUCGACGAGUUCCAUCGGUUUUAGGACGAGAUAUGAAGGUUUUCGUGAUUUUCCAGUUUUCGGUGAAUGGCGACGGCGACCGGCAAGGCUAACCGGAGAGGAAGAUAGAAUAUUCCUUCAAAGUUGACGGAAUAUUUUGACGCCGUAAGGUAGAAUUAACAGUUUCUGUUACUUUUUAACGGAAUAUUCCUAACGGGGUUAAGGGAUUCCAAUAGGGUCCCUGCGUGUGGCCGCGUGUGUUGCCGUGCCCUUGUCGGAGCGUGGUGGCAUGUGGGACGUCGGAAAAAUUUUCUAAAAAUAUGGGGAUGUUGAGGUUGUGUAGAUCACAUUGGUAUAUUCAAACAUCCCAUUUGAGCAAUGUAUGAGAAGUUAUUAGCUAGUAUUCGUUAUGUGCUUUAAAUUAACGUUUUUAUAGUUGUUUCGCAUAUAGGGGAGACUUAUCCCGAGGACGAGCGCGGUCAAGGGCGACUCGGGGGCUACGACUCUUUGACAUACCAGUGAGUGGGCUUUUGGUUUUCAGUAUAUACUUAUAUACUUGAUAUUUUCCCAGAAAAUGCGUUUAAAUGAAAGUAUGCCUUGAAAUGCCAUGCAUAUAAAUUUAUGUUCAAUAUAUGAAUUAGUAUAUGAUGCAUACUAUAUAAUUGUGGUGAUGUGGACACUCAGGUAAGUCCAAGUGAGUUUAUGAAUUGUAAAUGUGAAUAAUGAUUAUGAUUAAUUGAGAAGUAUAGAGCUCAUAAACCUGCACCUCGAUGUUCGUGAUUAGUCAGAGAUAUGACACAUGCUUGUAUAUAAUGUCACCUCCUGCACCCUAUGCUCACAUUGGAUCCAAUACAGACCAUUAUAGGUGAUUCCAACUCGUAGAUGACUAGCGAUUUAUCGCACAGCUAUCAUGAGAGCGUAGUAUUGAGCAUAAUUAUAUUACACCCAGUCUUGUUGUACAGACCUUUUCAGUGGUUCCAACUUGUGUGCAGUGUAGUGCCGUAUAGGUCAUUUGCAGUGACUCUGGUUAGAUUGACUAAUGAGCUAUGAAUGCAACCGUACAGACUUCUGCAGGGAUUCCGGCUAAUGUGUUAUUUUCCAUGAAUUUACUUUCACAUGAGUUACUUAUCUUGUUUAUAUCUUGGCAUGACAUACUUAUGAUUAUGAAUAUGUGUAGCAUGAUUUGAAUUGAUAUAUAUAGAUAUAUGUAUACGUUUAUAUUCUAUUUCUAGGAAAAAGUAUACAUGUUUUACGGCGAGGGGUUAGAGCACUUGAAAGUUAAAUGUGUUCUUAAAACCCUUGUUUUUGCCCACUCACGUUUUCUGUUUUGCGCCCCUCCAGGUUUUAGGUAGAAUUGCUGUUGGUGGCAUUGAGGAUCUCGAUGGUUCUGAUAGAAUAAAAUAUUCGUAGGAUAUCUUCUGGUACUAUAUAACUAGUACUUGUCCUACUGGACUGCACCUAGAUUUUCUAUGCUCUGAUUAGGAGUAUUUACUCUUGUAUCUCACUCCUAGCACUUUCCUGCUUAUUAGUGCACAUUAGUACCUUUCGGUUUUUAUUUAUUCGUAUAUUUCUUAUCCUUAUCGCUUCCGCACUGUGCACAUGGCUACGUCACCCUCAUGUUAUGGCCAGCAUACCUCAAUCUCGGUCGGGAUGUGUCAAUUAUUCACUAAUUUGGAAAGCCAUUAAAAAUGCUAAAACCUAUUAAAAGAGCCUAAAAAUUUCUAUUACAACCAUAUUCUCAGAUUUGGGAAGUCAUAAUGAAUAUGAACGAAUAGAAAUAAGUUUUUAAUUUAAAAAGUUAUUAAAAGUAACGAUUAAUGCUAAAAGCUCUUAGGAGUUUCUUUCUUAUUCUCUAAAUUUAGGAGCUUGUAAAAUUGAUUUCUUUUUGUACAAAAAAACCACCCACAAUAUUAAAAGUUGCACCAGCUCAUUUUUUUUUGUUUGUUGAGACAAGCAAUAUUAUUCUAAAUUAAUCUAUGGUCCAAGAAAGGAAGUUCAAACCCUAGCACGCAUAAGAAGCAUACGUUCAUUUUGGACAAUAUGAUUAUGCUCAAACCUGAUGUAUUAAGAAUAUUUCUCUUCUUUGGGAGAGGUCACAAGCUCGAACAUUCUUAAAAGAUUAAGAAAUAAAAAAACUCUUUACAAAAGAUAAUAAUAUGUAUAUAUAUCAAGCUCUUUAUGCAAAGGGAUCCCCAUUUAAAAAAAAAAAAUAGGGAUUAGGUGUGGGGCCCACUCCACAUCGAACUUCAAUGAUCUGAACCUUCUAUUUUGUAAGUCCCGAUUCAUAGAUGAUUCUUGUAAAAAUUCAAUUCAAUUCGAAACCAUUUGCCUAUUUAAUUAUCAAGAUAAAAUUUCAUUGUUUCUUAUUAACAAAGUAUUCGUUAAUUUUUUGAACCCAAUACGAAGUCUUAAAUAUUUUCUAUUUGGCUAAUAGUUUGCAAGGAUGAUCUAUGAGAUGCAACUUGAAAAUAAACAAUUCACAUCGUUACAACUAAUCCCUAUUUUAUUAAUUUUUAAUUAGUUUAAUCAUUUAUUAUAAUUAAUAUUGAGUUGAUUGAUGUAAUUAUUCUACUUUUUUCUUCUUUUCAAUCAAGGAAGGUGAACAGAUUACUGAUUAAACUUUAAAUAUCCUUUAUUAAAUUUUAAUUAGUUUAAUAAUUUAUUUUAUAAAAUAAUAAAAUAAUAAUUUAAUUUGACAUAUCGUUUGGCGAACAAAACCUUAAAGGAUGUCAAAGUGCCAAAUAAUCCGUCAAAAUUUAAAUUUUAUGAUCAAAAUUUGACAUCUCCUUUGGAGAUGGUCUUAGAUUUUAUAACAUCUAAGGAUUUUUAUUUAUUCAUUAAAUGACAUGGGUGCUUAUGUGAAUUUUAACUAAUACUAAUGAUAAAAACUAAAACUGAAAAAACAUAAAAUUUGGGAAAUAAAAAUAAAUUUUAAAAAGGAAAGAAACCCUAACUAGUUGUAAAAACUACCCCCAGACUUUUAGCCAAUAACAAAAACAAUGAAAUCUCUUCUUAAUUUGCUGAUGGCCGACCGACCAAAAGGGUUUUGGAUUCUUAGUUGUUUUGAAUGUGUUAGAGAAAAUAAUAUUGAAUGAACAACUGAUUGAAUCACAUUAUUGCGAACCCAUUGUGAGAUUAAGCACACCCCUCCCCUUAGUGUAGAUAAUAUAAAAUUAAUAAUCAUUUGACAACUAAUUUAAUCACAUUAUUACUUGCCCAUUGUGAGGUUAAGCCUAUCCCCUCUCCCUUAGUAUAGAUAAUAUUGUUUGUUAAAAAAAAAAAAAUUAACAACUAAUUUAAUCACAUUAUUGCUAGCCUAUUGUGAGACAAUAAUUAAAAAAAUAAAAAAAAAGCACAAAAAAAUUAAUUAUAAAAAAAAUUACUGUUAAAACGAUGAAAAUGCCCAUGGCUUAUUUGAUGCGUUAUUUUAGGAUGCCUUUGAAGUUUUUUUGUCCUGAGGGCAUUUUUGUCCAAAUAUUUUGUUGAGGCAUGAUGACACCAAAAUCACUAUUAACCUUUCCAUUAGCUUUAUAUAUGUCUAUGUAUAUAUAUAUGUAUCUGUAUAGGUAUGUAUAUGUAUAUGUAUAUGUAUAUGAGGGAGAUGAUGAUGAUGAACUUGCCGCCCGCCGUAUGCGUGGAGCGUGCGAGUGUGAAAUUGGUGUGCGACCGCUUAAGUGCUUACCGACCGAGUUUCAAAGUUUUCUCAAAAUUGGUGGUCUUAUGCAUCAUCGUUCUGGUUUACUGGGGGUCCAGACUCCAUACUUCCUUCCCCCCCCCCCCCCCCCCCCCACUCACAACCCCACUUUACCCUCCUCUCAUUCAUCCCCUGAUACCUCCACUUUCUUCUCCAAAGAAACAAAUAAAGAUUUCAAAGAACAUAUUCUUUGCUUUUAAUUUCAGCCUGCGCCAUUCGUUUUUCUAAAGUUCGAGAGAGAACCCAAACCCCCUCCCUAUCCAUUUGAUUUAAAGCUCCUUCCUUUACAGCCCCUCUUGCUUUUUUUUUUUGUUUUGUUUUUUUCCCCCAUGGAAUGAAAGUCUUUGGAGGUCCAGAAGGCCAAAGCAGUGUCCUUUAUUCUUAUUCUUAUGCUUUCCUCUCUGGCUUUAAUUUGUUCUUGGUUCUUGAAAGAUUGAGUAUUUUUUUUUCUGGGUGAAUUCAAGAAAAAUACUUGGAGAUGGAACGUGGGGUUCUUGAUAGUUUAAUCAAUAGGCUUCUUGAAGUGAGAGGCAGACCAGGGAAGCAAGUGCAGCUUCAGGAGAGUGAGAUGAGGCAGCUGUGUCUUGUCUCCAAGGAUAUUUUUCUGAGGCAGCCUAAUCUUUUGGAGCUUGAUGCUCCUAUCAAGAUUUGUGGUACUUUUACCUCAACCCCCAUACUCUGUUUUAUCUUAUUUUAGUUUAAAAUUUAAUAUAUUAAUUAUCUUAGUUUACUUGUACUUCGAUCAAUUUUGAGUUUGGAUUUAUAGGUCCGCAUCAUAAGUUUGAUUCGCUUGAACUGGGUUGCGAUCAAAUAUGGAGAUGAAUAAUCUGUGUUUCCAUCUUUGAGUGACUGACAAGAAAUCAAGACCGGUAAAAUAUGUCAUAAAGUUCAAUGGUUAGGAACAUCAGUAUAUAUCCUUACUUGGGAUAUGUCUUAUAAGACAGAGUGCUAUAAAUAAACAAGUGAUCAAGUUGGAUCCACUGCUUUUGAGAAAUUCAUUCUUGAAUCCAUUGUUAUGGUUUGAUGACGGGCCAUUUUAGUUUAUGAGUAAAAAUUUGUGAGCUGUGAUCAGUUACAUAGAGUGAUGCAUAGUUAGGAUAUGAACCAUUAUCCCAGCCUGAUACGUGUGGCAUUUUGGGGUCUCACGCUUCCAUUAUCACGCAGUUGAGUGUUUUCAUUUCUCCUUUGUAACACAUGCACAGUAGAGAGAAAAUGUUGUGUAGGACAAUAGAUAAUGACAACUUAUUUCUUCUGGUGUCAGAAGUAGUUUUUGUUUCAUUUACUUUUGUAAAGUUGUUCGUAUCCGAAAUUCAUCUGCUAGAAAUACUUCUUGCUGUUCCACUUUGAAAAACCAAGUUUCUGCCUGAGAGAUAAUGUCAAAAUGAUUUCUUGUGGGCCAGUUAUCCCUAUUAACCAAAACCCUAUAACUUCAGUUCUUUAUGUUCUCUAGUUGGAAGUCGAGAUAUCCUUCUCUCUAAAAGCAGAGCUCUAGGUCGAUGUUAUAUGUAUCCGCAUUGAAAUUUUGACAUUCCAUGCCUGUAUCCACACUGCGGUGUAGUUUUUGAAUUCUUCUAGCAUAAAAUUGUUAUAUUUCUGAGAUGUUGCAAAGACUAAGCAUUGAAAGGUAUGAAUUCUUGAUAGUUUCAGCCAUAAUCUAUUCAUUUAUAUGCAUGUUUACAUUUUUCCCUUAAGAAAAAAGAGAAACGUAAUCGGAUUUCAUAUGGGUUUCUUUACAUCACACAGGUGAUAUUCAUGGUCAGUAUGCAGAUCUUCUGAGGCUUUUUGAGUAUGGUGGAUUACCCUCUCAGUCCAACUAUCUGUUCUUGGGGGAUUAUGUUGAUCGCGGGAAGCAAAGCCUAGAAACAAUAUGCCUUCUCCUUGCAUAUAAAAUUAAGUAUCCUGAGAAUUUUUUCCUUCUGAGGGGUAACCAUGAAUGUGCUUCAAUAAACCGAAUAUAUGGCUUUUAUGAUGAGUGUAAACGAAGAUUCAAUGUCAAACUCUGGAAAGUGUUUACAGAUUGUUUCAACUGCCUUCCCGUGGCAGCUCUCAUUGAUGAAAAAAUACUCUGCAUGCAUGGAGGGCUAUCUCCCGAGUUAAACAAUUUAAAUCAGAUCAAGACCUUAAAGCGACCUACUGAUGUCCCAGAUAGUGGUUUGCUAUGUGAUCUCCUGUGGUCUGAUCCUAGCAAAGACAUUCGAGGUUGGGGACCAAAUGAUAGGGGAGUUUCCUUUACCUUCGGUGCUGAUAGGGUAACAGAGUUUCUUCAGAAGCUUGAUCUAGAUUUAAUUUGUCGAGCUCACCAGGUCUGAAAUUUUUUUAAUUUGAGAAUUUUCCAAUACCAUACAACCGAGAGUUCCUUCCACUGAUGCCUUGUUUAUAUUUGCAGGUUGUCGAAGAUGGAUAUGAGUUCUUUGCGAAUAGGCAACUUGUGACAAUAUUUUCAGCACCUAAUUACUGUGGUGAGUUUGACAAUGCUGGGGCAAUGAUGAGUGUCGAUGAGUCUCUUAUGUGCUCUUUCCAGAUAUUGAAGCCUGAUAAGAAGCCAAAGUUUAGCUUUGGGAGUAGAGCUGCACCUAAGCCGGGUACUCCAUUGAAAGCCAAGGUAUCAUCCAUCUCACUCUAUGAACGAAACUCUUUUUUGUAGUUUAUAAUCAUCGUAACCUUUUACAUAUUGGUAUUUGUUGGAAACAGAUGAAAAAGUAGAGAAUUAUAUAGAAAAAUUCCAACUAUCGUCCAUGCUGAUGUUAGCCUAGAAAAUCACUGCAAAUUAAUAUAAUGCAUCUAAGUUGGUUAGUUGUGGAGUUUUAAUUUCAACAAUUUUUGAGUGCUAAUGAGAGCUCCAAUCAAGUCUCUGUGUGAGUUAAACAUUUUUGUUGUCGUAUUUUAUUGGUAAAAAAAUAUUCUCUCAAGUAUCCGAACUAGGUGUCUGUUAAGAGUUGGUACCUCGGUUUAUGCUAUUUAAUUUUCAUUCUUCCUUGUUAUGUUGUCGGCUGCAUAUUUUACUGGAUUUUGAUAUUAUCUGCGCUUUAUUAGCCUUCAUCUUAUAGAUGAAACUUGCCUUCCCUUGUUAUGAUAUGUAUUUUUUUUUACCUCCAGUCGUUUCUUGGUGCAAUGGCGUAAGGUAUUGCGAUCGGAGAUUUCUGAAGAAAGUACCUGCCUUAAGUCGGAAAUAGGCAACGUGCCGGUUUAACUGUUUAAGUCCUCUAAUUGUUUUCAAUACAAAAACACAAAAUCGCAACUUCUUUCAGCUAGAGAGAGUGCAGAAGAUCUUCCCAGAAAAUGUGCAAUGCCCUUGUAUGCAGUGGAGACUAGUACUACACAGCCCACUCUAUGCAAGAGCAAUAGGUAAAAAGUUGGAAAAAGAGUUUUUUUUUUUCCUUUUCCUUUUUCUUUUUUCUUUUUUGUGUUUUUUGGGUGGGUUGUUUGAGUCUUGCUUUUCAUGUAAAAUAAAAAAUAGUUGUAAGACUCGGUUGAUUAUUCUCAUAUCAGUGUUGAAUCUGUGUAUUAAUCAAGGAACGAAAAUAGUAAGUGUCCUUGGAAGUCCUUGGAAGGGGAAAAGGAUCCUCGCCAGAUUCUUUUUCUGGUGAUCCUGGGAAUCGUGUAAUCAUGUAUGUUUAUUGUACAUCGUGCGAUCAGUUUUCGUUAGGUACUAUUUAUAUUUAAUUUUAAAUUUUAAAUUUAAAAUAAUUUAUGAUCGUACUAUGUACGAUGAACGGAUAUGAUUAUACGAUUCCUGGAAUCUCCAGGAAAAGGAUCCGGCGAGGAUCCUUUUCCCUUGGAAGGUCUUUUGACCACUCAAUAAUAGCAAGUGUAAUUAAAAAUUUUAUUUUUACUAUUUAUUUGUACCAUUUCUUUAAUAAAGAUGAGACUAACAUACUUAGUGGACUCUACUUCUAAUAUUUAUUAAAGAGAUGGUGCAAAUGAUGAUACAAAUAGAUAGUAAUUGUAGCAUUACUCAAGAGCAAUUUAGCCAAAUAAAAAAAAAACUAAAACUAAAAGAAUGAGGAUAAAGCAUUGAUUAUGUAUAUCUUGUCCACAUUUGAAAUAAUACACUUCCCACCACUAAAAGCAGUGGUGAUUUAUGCUCUCCUCUUACACCGAAAAAAAAACAUAACACUAAAUAUACAUAAUCACGAAUAUACAUAUACAUAAACAAAAAUUAGCAAAUUAAGCACAUGAUUACAAUGGAGCAAAAAAUAAUUUCAAAAAUUCAAAAGACAACACAUGGAUUUUUUUCUUCAAAAAAGAUGACAUUGUCCUCAUUUAAUAGGCAAGACAUAAAAAUGUUUCCACGCGCAGUUCAACAUCCUGGAGGCUUGAACAGUUGACUCUGACUAUACCAAGCUCCACUGCUCGUGGCAUGAAAAUGUUGAAGACAUUAAAGAUAUAAUUAAUCACCAAAUCGUAUCUUUAAUACAUUCCUAAUUGAAGAUCUAAUAGCUAUAGUUAACAAGAAUGCCAGGUGGCAAUUAGUACAAGAGGUAGCUUACAGAGUAAGCUUUGCGAUUAUUAGUUGUAUUACAGAAAUCUCUCUCUCUCUCUUUCUUUCUUUUGUACUGCAUAUUUUCUGAAUUGAUCUCGAUCUUUCUAUGAGCUUCUAAGUUGGUUAUGAUGGUAUCUCAAGGGACUUGUGAUUCACUGUGGAUUGUAGAGUUCUUGAUUGACGGGCGCUUAAUUUCGCUGCGGGUUGUUGGUACGCCCCAAUCGGCUCAGAAGCUAAUAUUGAUAGAAAUAAAAGAACAAUGCAGGAAUUUAAAAGGGAGAGAAAGAGAGAAGUCGAAGAUAGGGAAGAGAAGGGUUCCUUUUUCAUUCAUAACCCCUCGGGCUGAGUUUAACAUAUAUAUAUAACAAGCCAAUAAAGGGAAACCCUAGCUACGACGCUUGGGCUUGAAGCCAAGACAAAGUAAAUAUUAACGAAAGGCCUGGGACUGAAGAAGAGGGGUAAGGCCCAACAGUAAGGUCCUAACAACUCCCCCCUUUCUUGAGAAGGAACCUGUCCUCAGGUUCGAAAGGCGGGAUAGCGGGCGAUGAUCUCGUCGGCGUCCUCCCCAUGUGGCAUCUUCUGCAGGAAGGCCGGACCACUGUAUGAGCCAUUUGGUGACUGCAACGUUCUUCUUCUUGAACAUCCCUCUGUCUAAAACCUUCUCAGGUUGCCAAUGCAAGUGACCUGUAGAGUCAAUAGGUGGCAGGAUUGGAGUAGGAGAAUGGCAGCGCCGAUCUUCUUCUUGAGCAGAGAGACAUGGAAGACUGGGUGUAUUUUUGAGUCAGGAGGAAAAUGCAAAUGGUAAGCCACUUGACCUAUACAAGCUUUCACCUGGAACGGGCCAUAAAACUUGGGUGCAAGUUUGUUGAAAUGCCAAGUGGCCACAGAUUGCUGGCGAUAUGGCUGGAGCUUGAGAUAGACCCAAUCACCCACAUUGAAUUGGCGUUCCGUUCGUCUUUUAUCGUAAACUUGUUUCAUUCGAUUCUAUGCCAGUUGCAAAUUAGCACGCAAGAGACGGAGUAGCUUGUCACGGUCCUGCAACGCCACAUCAACCGAGUGAACGACCAUAGUUCCAGGGAUGUAGGAGGUAAUGGUUGGGGGUGGUAGUCCAUAUAGCGCUUGAAAGGGGGACAUUUUUAUGGCAUAUUGAAAAGUGGUGUUGUACCACCACUCAGCCCAUGGAAGAAGAGUAACCCACUUGUGAGGAUGAUCUGCGGAAAAACAUCGAGGAAAUGCUCGAGUGUGCGGUUUAGGACUUCUGAUUGGCCAUCAAAUUGCGGGUGGUAUACGGAGCUACAACACAGUUUGGUGCCCUGUUUGCUGAAAAACUCUUGCCAAAAGUGACUUAGAAAAGUUGGGUCAUGAUCCGAUACAAUUGAUUUUGGCAUGCCAUGGAGACGAAAGAUUUCCUUGAUGAAUGUGUCAGCAACUGUUGCAACCGUGUAUGGGUGCUUCAGUGGGAUGAAAUGGCCAUAUUUGGUGAGGCGGUCUACAACGACCAAAAUGACUGUGUAGCCAUUGGAAGACGGUAAGCCUUCGACGAAGUCAAGAGCGAUAUCCUGCCAUAUGUCGGCGGGAAUGGGGAGCGGUUGCAGGAGACUUGGUGGGUGAAUAGUCUCAUGAUUCUGACGUUGGCAUUCCGAGCAUGUGGCUACAAAAGUUUUACAUCCUUACGAAUGCCUGGCCAAAGAAAGUUACGAGAGACUCGGUUGUAAGUACGGAGAAAGCCGGAGUGGCCACCUUGCAGCGAGAAGUGGAAUUCGUCAAGGAUCUUUGGCCUCCAUUGGGAUGUAAGGGGAACAAAAAUUCUCUGUUUGUAAUGAAGGACACCAUUGACAAGUGUGAAGCCCUGCACACUACUGUUUGGUGUUUGGAGUAGUGAAGGCCAAAGUGUUUGAACCUGAGGGUCUGUAGCAUAUGAUUGUUGCAGUUCUGGUAUACAAUCAAACACUGGAGAGGACAACCCCAUAAGAGGCAGCAGCUCAUGUUGGCGAGAUAGUGCAUCCGGAGCUCCGUUUUGGGAACCCAGUCUGUAGUCCACUGUGUAAUUAUAACCAAGCAGCUUAACAAGCCAUUUGUGUUGUUGUGGAGUUGUGAUACGUUGCUCAAGGAAGAAUUUGAUGGGUUUGUGAUCAGUGACAAUCCCAAAUUGUUGACCCAAGAGAUAAUGGCGCCAAUGUUGUACAGCAAAGACGAUGGCAAACAUUUCCUUGUCAUACGUAGAGAGAUCGAGAUUCCGACCAGACAAUGCCUUACUGAGGUAAGCUAUGGGAUGAUCUUCUUAGCAUAAGACCGCACCUAUACCCAUACUAGAUGCAUCGGUUUCCACUAUUAACUGUUUGGUGAAAUCGGGGAGAGCAAGCACGGGUGUGGUUACGAGUGCUUGCUUGAGCUUGUUGAAUGCAGCAAUGGAGUCUGGUGUCCAAGAGAAAUUGACUUGUUUUAACAUCUCAGUCAAGGGCUUUGCAAUCAAGCCAUAAUGACGUACGAACUUCCGAUAUUAACCCGUGAGACCCAAGAAUCCACGAAGGCCUUUGAGAGACUGCGGUUGAGACCAUUUUGUGAUGGCAUGAACCUUAGAAUUGUCCACGGCUACACCUUGGCCUGAGAUAAAGUGACCCAAAUAGUCAAUCUUAGCUUGCCCGAAGGAACAUUUGCUAAGUUUUAACCUCAAGCUGUGAGUAGACAAAACUUGAAAAACAUUCUCCAAAUGGGAGAGGUGAGUAGCCAAUGAGGGACUAUAGAUAAGGAUAUCAUAAAAAAAAACCAAGACAAACUUACGUAAGUAUGGCCGAAAAAUGGAAUUCAUCAAAGCUUGAAAAGUUGAUGGAGCAUUGGAUAAGCCGAAUGGCAUCACCAAGAAUUCGAAAUGGCCGUCGUGUGUUCGAAAUGCGGUUUUUGGGAUAUCCUCAGCACACAUUCGGAUCUGGUGGUAACCUGACCGAAGGUCAAGCUUAGAAAAUAUAGCUGCCCCAUGUAAUUCGUCGAGUAACUCAUCCACAAUUGGUAUUGGGAAACGGUCCUUGAUGGUUGCUGCAUUCAAAGCUCGAUAGUCAAUACAAAGUCGCCAUGAGUCAUCUUUCUUUUUGACAAGGAGAACGGGGGAGGAAAAUGGACUAUUGCUAUUUCGAAUUACUCCCGAUUGUAGGAGUUCCUGCACUUGUUUUUCAAUUUCAGCUUUGUGGGAGUGUGGGUAUCGAUAGGGACGGACCAAAGUAGGUGUAGUGUUGGGGAAGAUUGGAAUUUUAUGGUCUAUGUGGCGUUGGGGUGGGAGGCCCGAAGGUAUGGCAAAAAGAUGGUGGUAUUGUGUUAGGAGGGAAAGAAUGGCUGAUGGGGUAUUUGGUGGAGGAGAGAUAGAGGGUGCUGUAGGUGGGGUUGGUUGGGAAUUGGGAUGGUGGGGUGGGUAAGUGGGUUGCAAUGAGUGAUAGGUGCGAAAAGGUGGAGUGGCUUUGACUAAUCCUUGAAGAGUGUGGGUAUGGCCCUGGACAUUGAAUAUCAUAGUUUUAUGUUUGAAGUGCCACCCUAUAAAACCGAGAGACUCCAACCACUCAGACCCCAAGAUAAGUUCAUAGCCAGGUAUGUUCAAAAGGAGGAAUGAACCGUGAAGGGUGUAGCCUUGCAUUUUUACAACCACAUCAUGAACUCGGAGAAAGUAGCAACUCGAGUGUGAGAGGCAGUGGUGAAAUGGACUGGGGCAAUAUGUUCAAUUGGCAGGCCUAGGUGGUGUGCAAUAUUUGUAUGGAGCAAAUUGCAAGCAGCUCUGAAAUCGAUUAAGACCGUAACUGGAAGGGAGUUGAUGGAGCCGUGCAAUCGCAUUGGUUGACCCAUGCUAAGUCCAGGGAGCUGAAAGAGCUCGAGCAUGUGGCAUGGGGGAUCGGGAGGGAGCUCUUCCUCCGAUUGGCAGUCAUGAAUUCAGGAGAUUCAUCCUCAGUGGUAGGAGAAUCAAGCAUCACAAUCAUAGGAACUUUGCAUUUGUGUCCUGGGAUAUGGGGUUCUGUGCAAUGGAAGCAUUCGCGUUUGCGGAUUUUUUCUUGAACCUCGGUUGGGGUUAAUCGUUUAAAAGGAGGGGUUUGGGUUUGUGGGGGUUUUGGGGAGGAGAUGGCAGGGAUGGAGGUGGGGUUGGAUGGUUUGGGAAAGUUAUGGGAAAGGUAUGGCCGUGAGUAAUUUGGGCGAGAAGUUCUUUUGGAGUGAUUUUUGGUUUCAAAAAUUUUGGCCAAUUUUUGAGCUUGGUGUAAGGACAUCAUGUCGAAUAUCCUCUUUCAGUCCCCCUAAGAAAACAUGUUUGAGCUGAUUUUCUGUCCAAUCAAUUACCCUACAGGAGAGUUUAGUAAACUCUGCUAUAUAGUCAUCCACAGUGCCAAUUUGUUGUAUAUGGGUGAGCUGGGAUUCAAUAUUUGCUCGAUCACCCCCACCAAAAUGUUGAAGCAACAAGUUAACAAAUAAACCCCAAUUAUCUCUGCCGUGCCUUUGUUCAAAACCGCUCAUCCAAAUAGAGGCAUAUGCACCAAAAUUACAAGCUGCAACAAGGACCCAUUAUUGAGAGGGGACCUUGUAAUAGUCGAGAUAUUGUUCCGCCAUGGCCAACCACCCGUAAGGGUCUUCCCCAGUGAAACGCGGGAGUUCUAUUUUGAUGGGUUUGAAGUUGUGGGAAGG
rnacentral:lncRNA from 1 species